GAACACGCAGCCAUACUCAUAAUAAGUUCCAGUUUACAUCAUAAUGCCUCCCCGAAUGUAAACGCAAUAUUUGCUGUCCCUUGGCAUAUCUUCAUCGUAUUUUUUGAGAAACAAGCGACAACCAAUAGCAAAUCUUAAAUCAAGAUGAACUUUCAUUUGAUGGUUUCUGAUUGAAUUGAAUGAGAGUUGGGCACACCGCCGCACACAUAACUAGUCAUAGAGCACAUACGUGUCGUCCCUUUUUUUUCCAAUUGACUAAAAAUGGUGCAACAUCUACUAACAUAGCUUUUAGAGUUUUAGGUUAUAUAUCAAGUUUAUUGUUGAUAUUGAAAUUUACUUCUCGUUAGAGAUGGCAUGGAGAAAGUAUACAUGAAAUGUAUUUUUUUUUUUUUUUUUUUGUGUAGUAGAAGCUAAACGGCCGCCCUCAUGUCUUAACUAUUAACAAAACCGCAGAAUACAAAAAGAGGAAGGGGGACAUAAAGUCUAAAUCCCAAAUUGCCUAAGCAUCCUGAAAUAAUAUUUAGAGUUUUCAAUCCUAUGCAUUCUAACAAGCACCAUUUAGCAAGAAGUGCAUCAUUGACUACUCUAUUUGCCUUACAAAUUUGACGACAUACCGGAAAAACAAUGUUUAUGCAGAGCCAUAAGUUACUAUAUUUAACAGAUUUCCUACCAUAUUGCCACUGGAAGAUAGUGCCACUGGAGAAGGAUCUCUCGUUUUUCUCUCUAGUGCGUGGAGGCGCGUUCAAACCCAACAUGAAAGGAAAAAUAAAAACUAUCAACUUAAAAUAGUUUUUGUAUAUCCAAUAACUAACUUAUUGUUAGGAUACUACUUUAGCCACUCAGCUUUGACCGGAUGAUUACAUUUUAGUAGAAUCAUAUAUAUUUCCGAGUUUCGGUUAAAAUUUGUCACUUAAUUAACUAUAUUUUUCAUUUUUAGAGUUAAUCGUCACUUACGUAAUGUUGCUCUUAUUCCUUUGUUUUAUGUCUUCUCGUUCCCUUCUUUCAUUGAGGUUGGCUUAGUCAAAUACAACCCGAUAUUGUCGAGCAUGCAUAAUGUUCACGUCUUAUUGAUACAGGGGUUUUGGCCUCGAACAAUUUAGAGACUAUAGAAUCAGUUCCUUUUGAAAUUUUAUUUCAUUCAUGUCGGAAUCAAAAUAACUAGAUAUCAUUCCUCUUCCAUUAUGACAAUACAUUUUCUCUUUAAAACCAACCCAACCCAACCCUCAACCGUUAUAAGUGGUCUAGUGGUCAUGCACCCAUGUACAGAACCCCCCAACCCGCUUUCGACUUACGAAGCCGUCAAAGCGAAUAGACAUUGUGUCACAAACUCACAACGCACAAUUUUGCUACUGUGUCGACCUGUCCAGAUACAACCCGGCCCAGCCUUUGAACUCUUCGAAAGUCCAAACCAUAAAUAAUAUAUAUAUAUAUAUAUAUAUAUAUAUAUAUAAAAUCACACGCUGACGUGGCAAAAUCUGGAGGUACCUCGAGUGGCCGAGUCAUUUUCUUUCGCCCCCUCUCAAUUUCCGCAGCAAUGGCGGUUGGCUUCUUCAAGCCAUUGUUGCCCAUCAUCCUACUCUCCUCUCUUCAUCUCUACGACGACUGGGUCUCCACUCCCUCAUGCAGACCCGUACCCGAACCCGACCCGGCCCAUUCCCAGGCCCACCCGGACGACCUCAAGGUCAUGAUGGUCGCCAACCUCCUCCUCCUCGGCUCCCACUCCAGCUACCUCGACCUCCUCUUCCGCGACCACUUCGUCUCCAAGUUCUUCGCUGUAAGUAAAUUCCCCAUUCUACCCUCGCCAAUAUCCACAUAUUACAGACUGAGCCGGAUUACCUGAAAUCUGUUGUGAAAUCUGAAAAAACCAGAGAUCGUUCCGGACUCUGGGGCCGGACAUGCUUCUGGUCCUCGGCGACGUCUCGGCGCGUGGUCACCACUUGCCGAGGAGCGAGUACGCGUCGGUGAUCCGGCAGUUCCACCGCGUGCUCGGCCCGUUUCUGGACCUGCCGCUCCACGUGGCGCUCGGCGACCGCGACGUCGGGGAAUGCGGCGGCCUGAGCGAGGAGGCGGUGGGGUGGAUCGCGAGGAGGAUGCCGGGGCUGGACUCGGCCGGGUGCGGAGCCUUCGAGAUCGGCAACGUCAGCUUCGUGUCGCUAAACGCCGUCGCUUUGCUGUGUGGGAACAGCGGGCUGAGGUUUAGUGUGGAGAAGGCGGUGGAGAGAGAGAGCGUGGAUUUUCGAGUUGAAAAUGAGGCGGUGAGGGGUGGUGAGAGUGAGGUGGAGAGGAAGGAGGCGAGGGUUUAUGAGUUUGGGUGGAGAGAGAAUGCAAUGUCAGCUGGUUCUGGUCCGGUGGUUUUGCUUCACUUUCCGUUGAGCCGAAAUGUGACUCCUAGUUUCGGUGGGAGUAGUAACAUUUUCGACGGCAGGUUUGUUGUAGCUCUCUUCAUUUCGUGUGUGAUUGUGCUGAUUAAGGGCAAUGUGUGUUGUUUUUCGCUGUAGAACUGCGAAGAGGAGAUGCUAAAUGUGUUGUGUUUGGAUUAUAUUUGACAGGGAGGAUGUCGGGAGAGGGCCGUACGAUUUGUUACAGAAGCUACCACCAAAUGCUACUGAAUACAUAUUUCAAGCUCUCAAGCCAAGGUGAGUUCACGCUUUACGUUUUUAUGGCAUUGCCUGGGUAGAGAUUUGACUCUUGAUGUUUUGUAUACACAGUUAGGGUAGUAUAGGCCAGUGAGAUUUUCGCAGUCAAAAUAGCUGUUUGAGUGGGAAUGUAGGAUAGUUAUAGGUUGUGUACAACUGUACAUGUUAUUCACGGACACUAUAAGAGUGGGAGCCUCAUUGCCUGGGUUUCCAUUUGUUAGAACAUUUGUGUACGUCAUCUAUAUAGAAGAGUGUUUAGGCACGUAAAAUUGUGUAUAUGCUCAUUGUCCUUGGAUGGAUUCUCUUCCAACAGUGAGCCACACUUUUUAUUUAGAUGGUUUAUGCAUUUGUCAUUUUAACCACUCAAUUGUCCACCAUACAUGUAUGCACUCUAUAAAAUUCUGAGGGUUAUGUGCUUGAGGUUGUUCUGUAUAUAGACAUUAUGAGUUAUAAACUGAAGUUCCUUAACUAAAAAAUUGUCUUCAACCAUUAGAUAAUAAUUAGUGGCUCUGAUCCAUACUGUAUGAGAUCAUCAGUUACACAAAAUGAGAAAGGAAUCCUUAUCAGAUAAUUAUCUCAUCCAUACAGUUCAGUGGUGUAACAAUUUUAGGGUCUGAUAUAACAUUUCUUCCAAUCACAUAUAAAAACAGUGAAUGAAUCUAACUUGAUUUAUCAAUAUAUUUAGAGUUCAUUGUACUUGUGUAUGUGGAGAACCAAACCAUUUAGCAUAUCCAUUAUUAUCCUUGUAAUAAGAUAGAUGUUCAAGCUUCUGGGAAGUUACUAUUAGUACUACUCACCUCACCAUGCUGAGGGUUGGCAAACUAAAAUUCUCAGAAGUUGAGGUGAUAAAUUUCAAAUAUCAGGAGUAUUGCUUGUAAAUGUCAUAAUGCUUGAGAAAACUUGGAGGACCAGUAGAUGAAUAUUGAAUAGAUAGUUCUGCCUGAUAGAAUGAUUACCUAAUGUACCUUAAUUCUAUAAAUAUCCCUAUCUUUAGUCCUAAUGGUGGUUCAUGCACAUUUGAUGUUAUAGUGUUCAUUGAUCCCAUUGUUGGUUUCUGUGCUGAACUGAAAGAUUAUGGGUUUAUUGUGGAUCACUAUAUGAUUAAUUACUAAACACUUCACCUGUUAGUCAUUGUUCACCAAUUUAUAACUCAAAUACACUCAAUGGUAUAGCCACAUGUGGCCUAUAAGCUAAUCGUGUUGUGUUUCUUCCUUGUGUGUAGGAUUGUUUUCAGUGCCCACACUCAUGAAUUCUAUGAUCACUUCCAUCCAGAUGGAACCCGUGAGGUUACUGUUCCGGCCAUGACAUGGAAUGCAAGGAAUGAUCCUGGAUUUGUUAUUGCCAUUUUCCGAAGGAAUGGAGGUGCUGUAAGCAUCAGCUAUUGCUCUCUUGCUAGGGAAUCUCACGUACUUGUAGCCUAUGCAUUUCUUCUGAUUCUUUCGGUAUCAAUGCUGGCUUUCUCAAGCACGCCUAGUUUAAGAUCUUUGAAGACUAUGAUAUCCUGAUAUCUGUCCUACAAGUGUGUUGUGCAUUACUUUCCGUAGAAUUUUGUAUGUACAUUACUAUAGUCUUUGGGUGAGCGAAAAUCUCGCGUGGAUAUAGCUGUGUUAUUAAGUCAUAUACCAUAGUUGAAGAGGUGGAGGUACAUUGUGCUACUACUAGGAUGAGAAAAAGAAAGAAAAUAAUGGAAAUCUCCUAUCGCAGCCCCGUUUGGGUUGUUUUGAUAUCAUUUUGUUUCAUGGUGGGAAUGGAAGAAAUUUUUGAAGCUGCAGCUGUAGGUUGGCUCUGACUAAUUUGUUGUUUUUGAAUCUGAACUAGAGCUUUGAUUUGAAACAAUAAAAUGGGCUCCCAAUUGAGCUUAAUAUGCAAAGAUUGAAUAGAUUUCUUGAAUAGUCUUUGACUUUUGGAUGGCUAUAUUCUGUAUGAGGAUCACAGAUGAGUGGCAGAGUGAGGCACUUGCAUAUAAAUCCAUAUUUUGACUUGGUUUUUGGAAGAAAUAUGCAGGAGUACCACUCAGCAACAUCAAGACCUUUGGUGUUACUGAAUUAUUUACCAGCCAUUAACCAAAGGUCAGGGUAUGACAAUCUGCCAGAAAACGAAUGCUCCUUUAGAGUUGCAUAUGUGAGUCUUUUUCUGCCAUGACUCGUACCUAAACUUCUAACUCAGCAUGAUAUGAAUCUAUUGCUAUAUCUAUCACUCCAUUUAAGUUGUAUUUGACAAUUAGCUCUGGAUGUUGCCCUCAUUUGACUUCUGAUAUAGCUAAUUUCACUUGAGCAAUGGAUGCAUCUGAUAUUCUUGAUUUAGACAACUAAUGGUUUGUCCUAGUGGUUAAGGUAAAUCAACAAUGUUUAAUAGGCACGAUUGUGAAAUCUUAUUGUAGAAAUGUAAGUUGUAGAAAUAGUAAAUGAGUUAGCUAAACCCUAAGAUAACUAAUGUUCUGUGUGAUUAGUUUUUCUAAGCUUUUCGACUUGUACAUUUUCCAUUAUACGUGCAGUGCAUUAGUAAGUCCACUUUCCUUUUGCACAAUACAACCUCUUGAUGCCCCUUUUGCUUAUCAUCAAGAAUGACUAGUACACAGGGUUGAUUAAAUGGGCAAGAAUGGUAGCAUGCCAUGAGCAGAAAGACAGAACAGCUUAAACUACUACUCAAGACUGGUUGCUUUAUGCCAUCAAUUUCAAAAUCAAUGAAAACAUUUAAAUCAUGUUUAGUUCCUUUUAGAUUAGCUGUUGCAAGAUGCAACGAUUGCAACCCUUCAUAUCAAACAAUGAUAUCAAUAGGGUACUCUACAUCACCCACAACCAAGAAACGCGAACCUUCUUCCACCACCAUCCAGCCAUCUUCAUUUGCAUGGCUGAGGUGCUCACAAGGGUUCAGCAUGAAUUCAAGUUCAGCCUUUUCUCCAGCGCUUAGUAUCACACUCUUGAAUCCAACCAACUGUUUCAUUGGACUUCCAUUUGUCGGGUUUUUCCGACUAACAAAUAGCAACACUGGAUGCUUACCAGCCAUCUCUCCCUCAUUCUUAGCCCCAACUGUGACCUUGAACAACUUUUUCUCACAGAGUUCUUCACCUAGAUCAGAAACUAACUGGUAGCGUCCGGAGUCUGAAUUCUUAGCUGCUAGACCAACCGAUGACUCAUUCAGGUAGACCUUGUUCUGGGUCACUGAAGAUACAAAAUUGUAAGCAUAGUUGGAGUAGCUGAGGCCAUAACCGAAAUCAAACACUCUUUUCCCUGUGUAGAAUCUGUAAGUGCGCCCAGGAUAGCCUGAUCUUUUGUCAGGCCUCAUCCUCAUGUCUGUCAUUAGUGUUUUGAUGUAAUCUUGUGUAUACCAUGUGACUGGCAAUCUUCCACCUGCAUAGCAACAUUAAAUCAGUCUCAAAGUAAAGCUUUCUUUUGCUAGAUAGUCGAACAUGUUAUGUUACCAGACUGUCAAUCCAGAGUCUAAACCAGUAAUUAAGUGAACUCUUGUUGAACUGUGUGGUCCAAAUCGACAGUCGGAUAACAUAACAUGUCACGUUAGCAAAAGAACAUUACAGUAGUUCGUCGUUAAAUUUACCUGGGUUGUGAUCACCAAAGAUGACUUCUGCCAGGGCAGAUCCACCAGCUUCACCUGGAUAUCCAGCCCACAGGAUGCUUCCUAUUUUUGGAUUAUACUUCGCUGCAGAUAUGUCAACUGGACCCCCAGAGAGAAUCACAAGAAUCACUGGUUUCUUGGCGGCUUUAGCCACACUGCUAAUGAGUUGCUGUUGCUUACCAGGCAAGUUUAAGUGGUCUCUAUCGUGCGCCUCUCUCUCUUCACCUUGGUCCAAUCCCACAAUCAAAACCACAUAAUCUGCCUGCUGUGCUACUCUAACAGCUUGAUCAAUCGUAGGAUUAGGGCAUUUAACUGUAUCACAUCCAGGGUGGUAUACUGUUUUCUUAGCAUAACCUAGCAGUCCUUGUAACGGUGUAAUGAGCUUGCACGGUGGACCGUGAUAGUUUCCGAGAAGUGUUUCGGAAGCAUUGGCAUUGGGACCGAUUACAGCAAGUGAAAUGCCCUUUGAUUUUGGUAGUGGGAGUAGUUUGCCCGCGUUCUUCAAAAGCACGAUGCCAUCUUCAGCAGCUUCUAGUGCUAAAGCUUGGUGCUGUUUAGAGCACACUUUCUCUGGACCAAUGUUGCCGAAAGGUAGCUUGGUUGGGUUGCCAUCAAACAGACCUAACCUCAUCCUUAUAGAGAACAAGUUGUGGAGGGCUUUGUCUAUGUAUGAUACGGGCAGCUUUUUCUGCUGCACUGCAUUCUUUGUGUGAUUUUGCAAGUAGGUUCCACAGUUCACAUCCAUGCCUGCACGCAUAAAAACAGAACAUUUUACCUAUCUUCCAACCUUUCUCAAUCGAAUCUAGAGUAAUCAGACCAUGAAUCUUUAACCAUCACACACAACCGCAGUAUACAAUUCUUCUCACAUUCAACCCGUCACAUUUUAGUCAUGGAUCGGCGUUGUGAAAGAUGUGUACGUGAAUGCUUGCGUGCAAGAGUUUCGACACCUCAAUUACGUGUAUACAUGAUUAGUUAUUGCGAAAGAAACAUUUGUCUGUACUAGUUUGUCUAACACUAGAUUUGCCUUAAAAGAACAAAAAUUAUCACUUUUACAAAAAAAAAAAAAAAAAAGGAACAAAAGUUAUAUUUCCAUUAAUUCAGAGUCCAAUUUUGCUUGUCAUUUGUUAGCAAAAACAGGGUACCAAUAAUACACUUCCUAGAAAGAGAAAAAGAUCACUUUGAGGGCCACACUAGGAGAUGGCAUAUAUAGGACCAGUUACUUUAAAAAUUGACUUUCAGGCAAAACCCAUACAAACUGUUGGGCCUAUUGGACCAUAAUGGGCCAUGGUUUACCAAAUAAUGUAUCCAUGUGAGCAUGUCAAAUAAGGAAUCCAUGUGAGAAUGUCAAAUUUUAUCCAUCGAAAUAGGAAAGAAACAGAAGGAUGAGUUCCCACCAUACCUGCUUUCAGGACGUCGACGACGGCAUCUUCCGGGUGCUUAGCGUAUCCUUGCACGUCGUAAAUAAUGCUCACGGCGUCACAAUCCGACGUGAUAUAUCUGAUCAAUACCGAUACAAAAAGAUACUUGUUAGGUUUUAAAUUUUUAAUCCUAAACCCUAAUUUAAACGACUGUUUCUAACACUGGUAACUAAAAGAAAUGUUCAGGUUAUUGGCUAAGCUCCACUUAUGACUUUAAGAGCAUAAGUGGAGCAUCUCUAGCAAUACAGUUAAAUUUAUUGUUAAAUUUGUCAACAUUUAGAUUUAAAAUAGCAAUUUUUAAACUUUUGCUCCAGCAGUAUUGUUAAAUUGUAUACAUUAACUAAGUUUUAGUUAAUUGUCUCCCCAAAAUUGAUAAAUUUAUCAAUUUUCUCUAUCAAUUUCUAAAUUUAUCAACUUCUUAAGUAUACUGCUGGAACAAAUAUUCAUUUAAAAAUUAAUAAAUCUCUAAUUUUUUUAAUUUAUCAAUGCUACUGGAGAUGUUACAACCCAGUACAAUAAGCAUAUCCUCGUUUACGUGCAUGUACGUGACUCAAUCAUUGGUUAAUUCAAUUUACCUUUUUAAACGAGACUCCGCAAUGAGUUGUGUAAAAAUGUGCAUACACUAAUUUUUACGUGUGCCGCACAUGUGUGUGAAUUGUUAAUCGCAUUUACCCUACUACACUAGACCGCGUUCAUAGUGAUUGAUCUGCUUUAAGUUCAUCGUGCUAAGGCAAACAAAUUUGAUGCAUGAGGCAUGUAGUUGUUGUUGUGAGGGUGAGAUGUGUUUACCCAUGAAAACCCCAUUCUCCUCGAGCAGUCUUGGUUAAGAGAUUGUGAUCUGCACAGCUUGGGACUCCAUUAACUUGGUUAUAAGCACACAUGAUGCCACUGGCUUUGCCUUGCUCGACGCAACUCUUGAAUGGAGGCUGAUACGUGUCUGCUAGGUCUUGCUGAGUCACCUGCAACGCAUGCAAAGCAAAGGCAAACAAACAAACUCCUUUGUAAGAUUUUGUGGGCAAGCAGAUCUUGGAUAACUGAUAUCUCUUCUCAUCUCAAACCCGAAAAGAAAUAGGCUCAGGGAAACACGUCGAUUCACAUAAUGGAUUAUAUGAUUAUGUUUGUUAUGUAUUCUCGGCUAAGUUGCACUCUUUUUUCCUUUCUCAUUUUCUUGUCACGUUAUCAUUGUGUUUAUUAUACAGAGGCAAAGAUUUUAUGAGACAAAUAGAAAGCAUUCUGAUUAUUGUCGGUAUGCAAAAAUAUUUGGCAUUUCAUCUUCAUUGUACACUUAUAAGAAUGGUAGUUGAUGAGCAGUGACUUGCCAGUUAUCGAGAAUGAUUGACACCGUGAAGAUCACAAAUUAUUAACAUUAUGAGAUAUGUGAAAUGAGGUUAAAAUUUGUCGUCUCUCUUAAAGAAAAUAACAUUUGUUACUUUUUCUGAUUCUCAUCGACUCUAUUUUUUGUUGUAUUUGAAGAAAAGACACUGGUUUUAGACCCUAAUCAGAUUUUUAUUUUUUUAUUUUUUAUAAUUAAGGCAGACAUGAUAAUUUGUGAUUCUGAGGAAAAAAAUAAUAAUAUCAUUGUGAUAUUCUAAAAGAGAAAAAAGAACAAGAACAAAAAAAAUUGAAUUAUCAACUGACAAAUAAUUCAAAACCCAAGAAAGAGCUCGUGAUUUCACCAAUCAAAAUUGAAAAAAAAUAAUCGAUGGCACCUAACUCGAUAAAGUUUCAUGCAUUGGUCCACAACAACAGUCACAAAGCGACUCACACCAAAUUCCAAAAGAAAAUAAACAAACUCAUCAAACAUUCGAGGCAAAGAUCUCUGCAUAUGAAAACACACCAAUGGAAGAACACCGAAGAUUGAAGAAAACUAACCUUGGCAUUAAACCCAAAACGAGUCACAUUGUUCCAGUUGUCCAGAUCGUACGCCGUGAAAUGCUUACAACAAGCAGAGGCCUGGAGAUGGCCACCCACCUUCAGCUUCCCUCCUUCAUAUGAAUCACCCUGAACCCCCCGGACAUACGCCACCGAGUAUUUUGCCGUCAUCAAUGGGUCUUCUCCGGGAGUCUCUUGCCCUCUCCCCCAUCUUGGGUCCCUGAAAAUGUUUAUGUUUGGUGCCCAAAAUGUCAUUCCCGUCGCUUGUCCUGCAUUGUACACUGCCCUCGCUUCGAUUCCGAUCACCUAACCGAUUCAUGCACAUGUUACAUACAUUUCGAUUCUAAUUAACGCAUCCAAAACGAAAAUCGAAAUGGUAUGAUAACUAGGGCCUCCAAAAUAAAAGGCGAAAUGAUAUAAUAACACCACGAAUCUACUAACUAGGAUAAUGCGGAUUUUGUUUGAACAUCAAAGUAAAGUAAAAGUAAACGGAAAGGCAAAUCAAAUUUCAUCAAGAACAUUAAAGAGGCGGUUUUGAAUUUCAAAAGUGGGGUUACAAAAUGGUUGUGCUCUAAUAAUUCCGAUCAACGAGUAACAGAUCAUGCCGAGUUUGACUCAGUGUGUCACAUUUUUGUUGUGAAGUACAAGAGAUCAAAUAAACAGAAAAACAAAGAUCAUGCCCGAGUUGAACUGUUUAACUCAGUGUACCACAUUUUUGUUCCUAAGAAAAAGAUAUGAAAAACACAAAAAACGACCAAAUGGGUUUUGCUUUGGAGCUGAAAUAACGAGUUGGGUUGCAACUGUUUUGAGCAAAAGAGUAAAGACAAUGACCGAGUUGGGUUUUUGACUCGGUGGCCGUGAGUCGUUACCUGACCGAUCCGAUACCAGAGAUGCUCAUUGAAAGAAGCAGCGGUUAAUAUGACUUGAGGGAAGCUGGUGGCGCUGUUGAUGGUGCUGUAGAGACGGAUGCCUUUGCCGACGUCAGCGACGCCGUGAAGAGCCUCCGACCACCACUCGUAACUCGGGAUGCCGAGUCGGGGAAUCGGAGGGGCCGAGUUGACGAGUUGGGAGAUCUUCUCGUCCAAUGUGAGACGGGAGACGAGGUCAUGGACUCUUUGGUUGAUGGGGAGGGUGGUUUUGCAGAAAAGGAAGGACUCGGUUGAAGGGUUGGACGAGUCGCAUGAAUAUGGAGGCUGAGUUGACUCGGUGAGGAAGAUGAGGGUGGAGAAGAAGAUAAGAGGGAUGAGAAUGAGAGCUGGGAGCUUCAUUUUGGUUGAGAUGCAGAAAUGAUUGCAGAAAGAGAGAGUGAGAGAGUAGUUAUAUAGCAGCUGGGGAUGGACCUAGCUCGGUCUCCCACUCGAUCGACUGUUAAAAUUUCAGGGCGCCUUUCCUCAUAUAGCAUUUUACUCCUUGGUCCUUGCCUUUUCUAUUAUGAGUUAUUACAAAAGUUUAAUGAUAUAGGAAAAAAGUUUGCAUCUCUUGUUAUCAAAUUGGUCAAGUGUUGUCAAUAUGAGUGAUUUAGUUAUAUACGAUAAUAACCUGACUUUGAUGUACAUUUUAUCGAACAAUUAAUAAAUAUUAACAAAACUAUCUCACAUGUACAUAUUUGUUUAUAUAAAAUGAUAUCUUUGAUAUCUAUGAUUGUUUCACCUAAUGACGAAUAAGUCUUUCAUUGAAUCGAUGAAUAACAUUGAGUGUUUUUAUGGAUUAUUCAUAGGUUGCCAACAUCAUCACCAUCUUGAUCUUUUUGUUAUUGCAACAUACCUUCGACUGUUCCACGCCUCUUACCAUCUCAUUGUGGCUACUUUCAAAACACUUACAAAUUUCAAAGCGUUAAUGAGUUCUGAAUACAAGUUUUGAUGGUUUACAUUGCUUUUUGGUCAAUGGAAUUGUUGAUCUUACUUACCAAAAUAGUAUCCAUGCCAUUUAGUGUGAGGAGGAGACCCGAUCAUCCCGCCCUGUUCUUUCUUUAAACUUUUAACGACUCCCACAAACAAAGAUUUUGCUUCACACAAAUGUGUUGUCCAACAAUUUACAACUCGAAACUCCACGAACUUUCAAUCCAACAAGUUAGCUUAACCAAGAAUGAAUAGAUUACAGGGAAUGCAAACGUAGAUGCAUGAUGAAGGAAGACAAUUAAGAGUACCUACAAAUUCAUGUUUUCUUAGAAAGAUAUACAUACACGUAGUAGCCAACUAAUAAGCCAAUGUGGUAGCAGGUAAGUAAAUUCUAUACAUAUGUUUGUUUAAUUGCUACGUACUUCUUCCCAUUUUUUCCCCACUAGAAGGUUUCAUGUCUUUAUUCUCAUUAUCCAUAUUUAUAGCUGGUGAUAUAUAUCGGAUUAUAGGUAACUCUCUAAUCUUGGUAAUUAGUCACAUAUCGUUAAGUAGGUAACUACCUACUUAAAUUCUUAACCAAUCUUUAUGUGGGCUGCAAUAAGGUCAUUUACAACUAGGUCAUGCAACGGGUUUUUGCGUUCUAGGCACUUUGGUGAUGAAGAUUUCUUGUGCCAUUGGCAUUCCUUCAUCUUCACCAUGUCCAGAAAUGCAAUCAUCUAGCUUGUUCAGUAGUGGAGGUCAAUAAGUCAGCUUCUUCUUCAUCGUCAAAUUAAAGAGCCGAAGAACUUGGCCAGGUUAAUUUUCUGAAAGGGAUUGCUGGCUUUUCUUCAGUGACUCUUAAUUGGUCAUAUACACCAAAUAAAAACCCCGUUUUGGAUCUUCAGCUCCACCGCUUCGCAGGUGUCUAUGGUGACUUUCUCCUCUAACUGUACCAUUUUGAGUUCAUCAACAAAUCAGUCACAGACCUCCCGCAGGAGAUUAAGGCCUUGAAGACACUUGAGCCAGUUGAGCGCGCUCAGCAACUGAGAAAGAGCAGUUGCAGACGUUUUAAAUUUUUUAAGGUAGACCGUUAAACCCCCUUAGGCCCACUGGACUCGGUUCUAGCCCCUCGUCUGUUCCUCCUAGCCCGCUCAGGCCCAAUGCUUCGCCCAGCCCACCUAGGCGAACAUUUUCUAUUCCAGUGAUUGUGCUUUUCUGGAGCAACUCUGAUCACCAAUCCAGUCACUUUCCGAUGGCCAAAGUACUAUAGUAGUUUACUGGUCAAAAAUAUCUGAGCAUUCUCCUAGUAGGCCAGAAGAAUUAAACUCUAUCCACUUAACUUCUGUCCUAUACAAUAAUAUUGGAUGUCGGUAACUAUGAAGAUAGAGUAGUUUAGAAGAAAGUAAUAUAUCCACUACUUAAUUAUGUUCGAUAGUUACCUCUGUGAAUGCGAUAGUUUUCUUUUGAAUUUCAAAUAUGUAAGCACACGGUUUCAAUUGUAAAACGUAAUCCGUAGCCCUUUCACAUUGAAUAUCAAAAUAGGUUUCUGCAAAAUUACUAUAUUAGUAGAUCGAGGAAUAUAUAUCAGCCACUAAAUGCACAAAACCUGUGUAACGAUCACUCGAUAUUAGACCUUAAGACAGCCACACCAAUCAUUCAUUUAAAAAAAAAAAAGGGUCAUUUGAUAUGAAGCAAAAAAAAGGUGAACGUAUUCCAAAUUCUCAUACAAAUAAUAGAGCAUAUAUCUGCACAAAGCACAUAUAUAUCUUCAUCGAUUCGUGUUCAAGAAGAUCGUGAUCUAUACAAAAGAACUUAACCUACCAAUAAGUAUCAAAUUCAAAGAAAGUAAGAAAAAAAGGAAGCAUCUGGUCGCUAAGUUUGUAACCAUCAAUCAAUCACAUAUAUGAAUGCCAUGCCCUUGACGUAUAUACGUUGAAAGCUUGUCCCUACUAACUCAAUCAUAAUUUGCUUUUUCUCACCUAAAACCUAAAAGGUUUAGAUCAUCAUCCUAUCUAUUUCCAUGUUCCAAAUCGAUGGUUGGUCAGUAAAAGAUGUCAUGGCUAAUUAAGGUUGGAAGAUAUAAGUACCUUAUCUGAUAUAUUAAGCUAGCUAGUCGUUCUCUUAAAUUGGUAUAGUUUCCGGGAUUGAAAACUCCAUCGAGUUAGCUGAUCAUCUGGGAAACCAGAACAGUUGCUACGGUUGAUGAUUCAGUUACAUUUGAGACCAGAAACGAUUUAAUUAGUUAUGAAACGUGUAAGAUCAUAUUAGAUUACCUGCAAAUCGAUCUAUACGUGUGUACGUCUUUAUCGUAAACCUACUCUGUGCGCCAUCGAUCAUCGAUCAUAGUUUUUCAGCAUAUACUAAAAGCUGUACUUGUCAUCAUAUUUUUUCGCCAACAGGAUUGUAAUGACAAGGACUGUAAUGAUUUUGAACAUUGAAUAUUAUCUGGGACGUAUUGUAUAAUGAGGAUUCUUCUUCCGAUCUCUUCUUGAUGGAAUGGCUCUCGAGUCUCGAUCUAUAUACCAUACAGAAUUGCAGAUUAUUAAUGCAGACGAAGACAUUAAAGAAGAUGAGAGCAACUUCCUGUAAAACCCAAGCACUAAUUAAGCUUAAUCAAGCUCUACAUGCAUGUAUAAGCAAAACCCACCAUGGAAGGAGUUGAGAGCUCUGAGCUAGCUAGGGUUCUUACAAGUUAAAUUACAAAUUUAGCUAGGAGGUGGCAUAUAUAUCUCACGUACUUAACCAAACAUCGAAAAACUUGCAACCUAGUUUUUAUUCUUGUAAAAUAUGGGAGAAGACGAUCAUCUGCAACCUAGUUUUUCUUAUUGUAAAAUAUAGGAGAAGACGAUCGACAGAUGAAUGUCCGUGUGCGUACAGAUGAUAGUUUAACUAUUUAUAUUAUUUUUAAAUCAAAAUCUCUUUUUGAAUCUUUGUUCUAAAGAUUUUUUUUCUUCAGAUAAUUCCAAUCAAGAUACGUACAUUCAUACAUCUAUUCAUUCCCACUGCCAAAAGAUGUUAAACUGUUGAUAGUGUUUUUUGUUUUCUGCUGAAACAGGUGUUAAUCGUGUUUAAGUAUAGCUGAUUAAUCAUGCAUUAUUAAUCUAAUAAAACAACCAUGCACGUACGUCAUGCAUGGCUCCUCAUCAGGACCUCAGGUUAAUUACUUCAUGUUUGGAUUGGCUGGGUGGCUCCUCAAAAACCCUAAGCCACCUGCGCCUCUUCUCCUCCUUCCACCAGUUCUCACUUGACCUUGCGACCAAAUCUCAUCGGAAUCAAAUCUACAGAUCACCCCUCCACCUUAGGCGGUGGUUGUCCGAGUCGGGUGGGGUCCUAACAACCGACCCUAAUUAAAAGAUAAGCAAAACAAAGCGGUGUACUUACGCUAAGCCCUCAACUAACCGCCGCACAGGGAGAGGGUGUUUAACGGCGCGGCGUUUAACCCGUAACGGCGAGGCAAGAGGGACCCGUCAGCUCAAUGAGCCACGUGGUGGCCCCUGGGAAAGCCAUGGUUGUGAAAUGUCGGGCUGUGAUCCAACCACGUGGACUCAUGUACUGUGCUUGGUGGACCUCGAUUUGAAGCCCAAUGGUGAAUCGUGGGCCCGCUAGUUAUUUUUUAAAGUAGGUGGGGCCGAAGGUUUCGAGAAUGUUGAGGGCGGUAAGCAACUGACAAGUGUCGAGUGGAGUGACUUGUUUGUGGUUUGGGUGACUGGUUAGUCAAUUAAUGGCAGUGAUGCAAAUUUCGUUUGUUCUCUGAACAGACGGUUUUGCCCCUUUUGAUUUUUCUUCGUCUGAUAAUUAUCGUUUUUUUUUUUGGAUGAAAUAGAAGUCAAUUGUGAGCAUUUUUUUGAAUAUUUGAUAAUACUUUUUCAAAAAUAAUAGUGAAUUGAUAAGGAAAAUUAAUGAAUCUCUUCUCAUCCUUCCUUAAAAUGAAUCACAACUAUGUUUCUCAAAAAUUAUAUUCGAUCAGAUAAUUCUUGUAACAACUUUUACAUCAUUUUAGUAUUGAUAGUAGUCACGUUACUCAUGUAUCUCGAUAAUUUGAUCCUCAACCAUUUACAUGAUUUGCUUUAGAUUGGAUAUGUUGCCCAAAUAUAGAUAGUGUGAUACGUUGCUCAAAUACCGCUUUUUGUUAUUUUUUCAUGUAUCGCGACUGAUUGUUUUGCAUGCGUUAUCAUCGAAAAAGAUUAGAUCACUAGAUAAGUUGAACUUAAAUAAAGGAGAAGAAGAUGAGGAUGGUAACACGACUACUAUGACUUUGUUGCUCUAGUCGAACUUAGAUUUCUUACUAUGUAAAGAGGUAAAUUAAAAUUUUCAGAAAGACCUUAGAUAUCUAAAUAAGAAAUUCAAAGCCACGAUAGUCGUCCUUAAUUUAUUAGCAAAGAAUAAAUAGAUAAACACGACUGGUUUUUAGUCAUUUCCGUUUACAAUGGCAUGGUCGUAAUUGCACACUUAUUACAUGAGCUGGCCUUUUCUUUCCAGACCAGCCUUGCUACCGUUUCUGGUCUCAGCUCACCAAAACACUAUAAGUAGACCAACACCCUUCACCUUACCCUCGCUCAUUUUUCCCCAACAAAUCACAUUCACAUUCUUCUUUUGCUCCUCUAGAUUCCUCUGAGGUGAUCCUCAAAAAUUCAAACCCAUUUUUCUAUUUGCUUCUACACACUUCCUUCCCACCCAACCACCUCAAUCUCCAGGUAAUUUUGAUUCUGAAUUCACUGUAAUCCUCUCAGUUUUACUAUGCCGUAAUGUGAAUUUUGAGCUAAUCGGAAGGUUUCUGUGUAGGUUUUUCAUGGCGUAUUUCCAGAACGAUGACCUCGAGUACGUCGUCAACGACUACUACGGCGACGUCGUUGAGUUUGAGGAAGACAACGACGCUUUUGCUGAUAACCAGCUCCGCGGAAGCAUCCGCGAUUCCGACGAAGACUCGGACGACGACGACUUCGAAGACCGCCUUGAUUCGGUAACCGCUUGCGUUUCUGUUUGAUUUUUUCAUGGAGAUGAUUUACUUAGAUGAUUUCGAUUCGCUGAGUGAUGUGUUGGAGUUGCAGAGCAAGGUGAAGACUGAUACGUCGGCGUUGGAAGCCAGAAAUGGGAAGGAUAUACAGGGAAUACCGUGGGAGAGGCUCAAUUUCACUAGAGAUGAGUACCGCGAGGCGCGAUUGAAGCAGUAUAAGAACUAUGAGAGCCUUGCUCAGCCUCGUCAAGACCUCGAGAAGGUAUAGCUUUUUCGAUCUUGUGAGUGAGUGGCUUUGAUUUUCGUUGCGGAUUGGUUAUUUUGUUUAUGUAGUGACUUUUUUGGAUGUUGAAUCUUGUAGGAGUGCUUGCAAGUGGAGAAGGGGAAGAGGUUCUAUGACUUUCACUACAACACAAGGCUUGUCAAGUCAACAAUCGUUCAUUUUCAGGUAGAGAUCAAGAUCUUGAUUCUCGUAACUGAUUAGAAAUGAUUUUGAAGAAAAUUAGUUUUUGUCUUUGUUGAGCGGAUAGGGUUUUGUGAUGUUCCUUUUCAAUUUUGUUCAAAAUUUCAUUCAUAUGUAGUGGUACACAAUGCAUACCUUCAUCUUCUUACUCGUAUUGCAUCGUACAAGUCCUUGCAUUCAUUUUGUUCGGAAAAUUUUGUGAUGUUCCAUAUGUAGCGCAUACCUUCACUUUGCAUUAUGUAAGUCCUAGUAUGUACUUCAUAUGAAGGGUCUUGCAUAUGUCAUAUAAUUGGUAUGUUGUCUGCAAAAACUUUGGAGUUCAGAUUUCUUUUAACUUUCUUAUUUUGCUGAUAGAUUUCAUACAGAACAAUAACCUUAUUAUAUAGCUGCUCCUUUAGUUUGUGUAUCAAUAGUUUGGUAGUUUUGCAGGUGUUAUUAAAAAAAUGUUAUAUCGUUUGUGAUGGAUAUCUUAAUUUAUGAUUAUGGUUCUGUGCGUCAAUCAUUCACCGGAAGGUAUGGAGUUCAUAAUAGUCUGUCUUUGUUGGGCACGUUUAUAGACAUUGCAUAAAUCUGAGAUGUAACCAAUUUACCUAAACUGACCAUCAUGACAUAACUUAUCCUUGAUGUGUAGAUAUCACCACUGAACUUAUUAAGAAAACCAAAGAAUUAUAUAUUCAGCAAACAAGAUGUUUGUGUCUUCUGAAAACAGAAUCACCUAAUCUACUUAUUGGAAGUAAAGUUUUUUUUUUGGUGGGAGGGCAUUUUCCUGCAGUGUAAUUUGAGGACAUUUGAAAAUUUUCAUUGCUCCUUGAUUACUAGUUUUAGAUGCAUGUCAGAGAUAUGCUUUUACGCACAGACAUAGGCCUAGGACGUUUGAACUGCAAUGGCCACAUAAUGUACUCACUGGAUCCUUUUUGGUAGAUGUGUGAAGGCUGCCCUUCAUGCCAUUUCUUGUAGUCACUGACUCACUGUUACUAUUUACUCCUGUAAUUGGCCCUUGUUUUUUGCUUUUGGGUGUUAUUAUAUUUUUUCUGCUGUCUCUUAAAUAUAAUUAUAUUGCAUGUAGGAUUACUAUUGUUCUCUUAUUUCAGCUUUUAAGCAGGGUGGAAGAGCUGCUGGCGCGACUUUGGUUAUAUGGUAUGAUAGGAGAAUAUCUGAGCAUUUAAGAGGCCUCUGUUAUUUAAGAACUGUUAUUGCGUUCUAUUUGAAAGGAUCUGUUAGCAUUAUCCUGGAUUUCUUGGUCCUGUUUUUCCAUGGGGAUCCUUUCAGGCAUCAAGGACCUUCACAUUUGCAUUUCUCUGACUUAUUAGUUUAUUUUCAUUCCAAGUGUAUGUCUUGCUUCAUUACAUACUAUUGCUAGUACUGUUAUAGAUAUUUUUUUUGUCUUCCAUCUUUCCUUUUGUUUUAUUGUAAUGGUGUCCCGUGUAAGUUUCAUAUCUUUGGGUAAAUCUUCUUUUGGAGUUGUUAACUACUGUGGUGUGGAGAGAAUCAGGUUGUGUUUUUGCAUUGAUUGCACUUCAUGGUUGAGGCACAAACCCCCCAAGUUUAUAGAUCCUCCAAUUAAAAGAUCUGCAGUCUUAUAAAAUGCAUUCCUGUUAUACAACCUCAGAAAAAUUCCUACACAUAACCUUAAUCAUCAGGAAAGCAGAGUUGAGUCUUACUUUUUCACUUCACCGUGUCCAUCCAAGUUUAACGUUCCCACUCUGGAGUAACAAUUAUUUGAUAUUUUUUUUUGGGGGUUGGGAUUCUUGUGGUCUACUGAUCUGCAGGUAUUCCAUUAAACGCUUCUUAGUUUCCGCUUCAUUCUUGUGGUGCUUGGUAAAAUGGCAGUGCUGCUCUUUCAUGUAUCAACACCGAAAAAAUGGCCCACAUAUCUAAUUACAUUAGAGCAUUAAACAUUAUCUACUCUCUACAUGCUUUUCAGUAAUGGAAUAGAAUGCGACAUGACCUUAUAACAAAUUUACUCUGCGAUAGAUAAUGCUCUAGCUUGAAUAGCCUGUAUGUUGUUGCUUUGAAAGUGCAUUAUGCUAUUAGUUCUCUUAGAUGAGAGAUGCAUACUUGCAUAGAUAUGGUCAUUGAAAUGGUUUCAUUUGCUUUCUUGAUAUUGAGUCGGUUUACCAACAAGUCCCUCAACUAGGUUUCUUUCUUGUGCAGCUAAGGAAUUUGUUAUGGGCCACAUCAAAGCAUGAUGUAUACCUGAUGCAGAACUUUUCAGUAAUGCAUUGGAACUCUUUGCUUAAGAGAGACACCGAAGUACUCAAUGUGGCUAAACCAAUUGUACCUACUGAGGUAUAAAAUGCUAGACUGUUUACUUGGGAAACCAAGGCUAAAAGUUUGUUGUGGCUUAUGUUGGUAUUUUCUUACAGAAACGACCUGGGUUGUUGGCUCGGCCGCUCUCUAGAGUGCAGAUAAGCACUAUGGCUGUCAAGGAAGAUUUGUUGGUUGCUGGCGGCUUCCAAGGUGAACUAAUCUGCAAGGUAGGCAGUUAUAUCAAAUGUUUCUUUGCGACUGCUGAGUCAGUUAUAUAUUUAUCUGACAUUUCUGUUUUUUUUAUUUGGGGCAGCACAUUAAACAACCUGGAGUUGCUUUCUGCUCAAAACUAACAACAGAUGAAAAUGCCAUCACUAAUGCAGUGGAUAUUUUCCGAAACCCAACGUAAGUUAUCCUUCAUAAAAUGGUGCAGGUUGUUUCACUCGACUUCAUUUGACUGAAUGCUCUGUACAUGUAGUGGAUCAAUGAGGGUAAUGACUGCAAACAAUGAUGCUCAAGUUAGAGUUUUUGACAUCGAAAAGUUUGCUUGCCUUAAUAGCUUCUCUUUUGAGUGGUCUGUAAAUGUGAGUCCCUGUGAAAACCCUCCUUUUGUUAUUACUUUUUUAGUAGGCUAUUUUGCUCAUAUUGGCUUCAUUAUUUAUUAUUGGCAGAACACCUCUGUUAGUCCCGAUGGUAAGCUGCUUGCAGUACUUGGUGAUAGUGCAGACUGUUUGAUUGCUGAUGCUCAGUCCGGAAAAGUAAGUCGCAUUAGUUUCUGUGUAUAUAAUUUGUUUUAUGCAGACUAUAAUUCUAAUAUAUUUCCUACUUUAUAUAGGCUGUCGGGGGCCUUAAAGGGCACUUAGACUAUUGCUUUUCCUCAGCUUGGCACCCGGAUGGACGAAUAUUGGCUACUGGGAACCAAGACACUACUUGUAGGCUAUGGGACAUAAGGAACCUCUCACAGUCCCUAGCAGUGUUGAAGGGAAGAAUGGGAGCAAUAAGAGCUAUAAAAUUUACCUCCGAUGGUCGUUUUAUGGCUAUGGCUGAACCAGCAGACUUUGUUCACAUCAUUGAUACCCAGUCUGGAUAUGCUAAGGGACAAGAGAUUGACUUGUUUGGUGAGAUUGCCGGAAUAUCCUUCAGCCCCGACUCUGAAGCUUUGUUUGUUGGGGUUGCUGAUCGCACAUAUGGUAGUGUAUUGGAGUUGAAUAAGAGGCACUAUAAUCACUAUCAAGAAAUAGUCUUCUAGUUCAGCAGUCAUCGGAAGAUGGAGGGGUGUAUAUUUAGCCAAGGUUUGUUUAUCCAACUGUAUUUAUCCGAGGAAGGGAAGUUCGUGCCUCCGGUAUUUGGGGUUUACUCGGGGUUAUUAUUCAGCCACCAAAUAUCAAAAAAAGAAAAAAUUGUUUCCAGUUUUGUUUCUUCAAGUCUUCUCAAGUCGAUGCAAGUCGCAGGUUUUGGCUUUUGUUUCUCCAUUUCUGUGAAAGGUUUUUUUUUGUUUUGUUCUAUUCAUCAAAGCAGAAAUGGAACUUGGUUUUGUAAAAAGCUCUUUCCUUUGGUUUGUAUAUUUGUAAACAGUAAAGGUUUCUAGUGCAUUUACUUUUUGCCUCAGUUCUUUACUGUCCGCGUUUCAUGUGUUGUAUGCUUAGACUAAAUGGACUGGCGUACGAUUCGUUUGAAGUUCUAUAUGCCUCUUCAUUUGGAUGAGACCUUUUCCAUUUCAUAAGAAUUCAAUGGAAAAUGUGUUUCUUAGUGUUUUAUGUAUUACGCUCUUGUUCACUUCUACGGUCAUAUGAAAAAGACCCCAAGAAGUGCAUCAAAUACUUAUCUGGCUUGUUCUGAGGGACUGCUUAUAUUAUCCUCAUUUUUAUCUUACUUGUGUAGAUGAAAGUUCAAGGUAGUUGGGAUUUGGGGUGGUUAGUUAAACAGAAACUUCUUAAGAGGUAUUAGUUUAUGUGUAGUUGCCAAAGCUUAAUCUUCUUUUGCGGUAGUCUUGGUCAGUAACCUUAUUCGAACGUAGUCAUCACUCAUGACUGGGAACUCCAGCAUGUUCUAUUGUUUUUCAAAGGAGAAGAAGGCCACACCUAUAAUUAUGUCACUUAUGUUUCGUGUUUGUGUGCCUCUAGUCACUGGUUUGCUACAAUUUUAAUUUUUUUUUUUACCACCGACAAGAAGAAGAUUUGGUUAUGGGUUUAAUCGACAAGAAGCUAGAGAAGCCUAGAAGCUUUGGUCGUUGAAGUUUUCUUGUUUACUCCAGUAGAAAACAGGAAAGGUAAUCCACACAUGGAGGAUGGAGGAUUUAUGGGUAUUGUUUGGGCCAGGAAAUCCACACUUUCUUACGGAUUAUUACCUGCUGCAAGGGAAAGCCAUUCCCCUUGUUACAGUAGUCGAAACUUGGAAGUCAUCGUCGUAAGUUCAUAACCAUACUCCUGCAGUAAUCAUCAUAACCAUGGUUAAUCUCCCACGAAGGCAAUAAGCUUCCCAAGUAAUGUUACUUCUUCUAUGCACCGGUAUAAUUAAACUGAGCAACUAUUUUGAUCCAUCCGUUCACGUGUCACUAUUAUGCAUAUAUACUAACUCCAUGAACAAAAUUGAAACCAAGAAAAAUAAUCCAAGUUUUUCAAACACGAAGUGAGGUCUUAAGGUUGAAAAAGAUGUUUUCUUAUUAUAGACAUUUAAUUUGAUCGGAUCAAAAAUAAAAAUGAGAUGAUAGAAUUGAGGGUCUAUAGGCUCGUUCCAUCUUCGUAGAAAGCAAUAGACGACUUAUACAUCGAUGAUGCAAAUGUACCUUAGUGUGUAAUCCGCUCCCACUAUAGUUUAUACCAUUCUUCUAUAGUAGCACAGUUACAUUAACCCCCAGUUACUACCAAGUCAUCAACUAAAACGGAUCCUGGGUACAAAGAUCUCAUACAACAAAUUAGCAAUCCGAUCUGGCGAUCUCUUAGUCCACCACGAGAAGUUAUGCGGAUCUAAUUUGAAGAAAUAAAUUAAUAUAGAAUUUUUUUUUUCAUUUCCCGUAUUUGCUUUACAUGGAAAUAAGAUAUCUUCUUGUUUUGAAAGUCGAAGGUUCUGGUUCCUUGACAUGCGCAUGACCAUAGUCUGAACUCAUCACGUUCAAACCCGCGUGGGGUGCAUAACCAACUAUGGUGGUCUACAACAAAAAGAAACAAAAUCUAAACAAUGUAAAGGGAAAUAUAAAGGAUCAAAAUAGAAGACUUUAUGGGAAUUCCAUUUGCUCACUUUUAAGCAACAUUCCAACCAAUGCUGCUAAAGUUUCCAUUGUUUAUCAUCAGCUUUGGAUAAUUGGUUUUAGCAGCUGCAAAAGUCUUCAGGAUCACCCCCUCACCACUCAGCUAAACAGUGUUUCCAAUUCUCAGAUUUUUCUAGUUCACUAGUUGUGUUUUCAAUUUAUAUAUUUCCUUUCAAACUUAUCGGAAACUUGGCACACUGUACUGGUACCCCGGUCUCAGGUAAUUGAAUUCACACUGCAAAAGCUUGUAAGCAAUAUUCCAGAAAGAGAAAGAAGCUUGAAGAAACAAGGACUGUGUUCACCAAAAACAAAGAGUUGGGGGGGUCAUCAAUAGUGUCGUGAAUGAGUGAAACUUGAUCGACCUGCACACUAGCUCACCCACCAAAUCCACUGAAAUAUCGUUGGCUAUAAUGACAUGAAAUCUGCCUUUGAAAGUGACAACAACUAUUGCUUCCUUUGCUUCCAAGACUUGAAUUCCAAAAUGGUUGUUCGCCAUGGCCCCUGAAUCUUAUUCUGCAUAUUGAACUUAUGAAUCAUUAGUAUGCGUGGCUUGCCUUCCCCAUUACUUUCCAUAUAGUGUUGAGGACGGUUAUGUGUGAUGCAAUCUCACAUCGCUUUUGUAACAAAUUCUAUUUCCUAUGCAAAUCUUGAGAGAAAGCGAAACCCUAAUAUCAGCAAUUCCAAAUCGACUUGUUAAGCUUCGAGAAUAUAAGUUGUUGCAUUCGUUCACUGCUUACAAGUUCUUCCAAAACAAGCACCCAACAAUGGUGUUGCAUGUUGAUCAAGAGUUCAAAACCGGCCAACCUUCACAAAACCAUCCUUAUUUCAAUUUGACCACCCGAGUGAUUCCAAGAAAAGGAGAGGCAGGAAGCUGAACUUGUCUGCUCCAUUAUGAAUAUGGUUCACUCAAUAAGGUGGCCAAUUUCUAACCUUAAAUCAGUCUCAAGUCUAGUCAAGAGAUCUGGACCUCUUCAUUAAUGCAGGUGUUUAAAGUGUUUUUCGUUUUGGUUCAUCUCAAAUUAGUCAGAGCUUUAAAAACUACUUAAAUAAUUGCGCCGGCCUCUCAAAAUUAUAAAUGAGUACAUAUAAUCACAGUUUAGAUGUAUAAAAAGAUUAUGUUUAAGAAAAAUGUUACAGAAAUUAUCAAUAUUGGUGAAAUAUCAGCAAAAAAUUAUACUAAGUACCGGAGGUCAUGAGUUAGGAUCUCACUGUUAUAGAUUUAUAGAUAUGAUAACAAAAGAAAUUGAAACUUGUUUAAAAUCAUUAAUGUACGUCUUCACUAAAUAAAUUAUUUUAUUUUAUUUAAAUGUGAUAUGACGUUCUCUAACUACUCAUUUCGAAUAUAAUUUAAAACAGCUCAAUAUAAGUCAUAGAUGAGAAAUAGUCCCGUCUGAAACCGUGUGUAGCUCAGUAUUUGUCUUGUUCUAAAAUCCCAGUUUUAGAGUGACAAAUAACUCCAAACAGAGCACUAACAAAAUAUUAGUUUCAAAACCCACCUAACAUAGCUAAAGUUGUGAUAACUGAUAACCAUGUUUUCGUUUGUGGGCAAGAGUGACACGAUUGGUUAAUUUCCCUAGCACUUGUCCACUAAUGAAUGUCUUUUCUCUUUUCUAUCUUGGGUAAUGAAAUUAUACAUCAAACAUUAUCAUCUCAAUCAUAUGAUAAAUGGUUGCCCAAUAAGGAAUUACGUCGAAAUUGGUGGGACUAAAAAUAUUGUCAAGAAAUGGGAAGAUCGUUUUCUCACAACUCUUAAACAAGGAUUAUCCCAUAAGAAUUACGUUACGUAGCUAGACUGCUAGAGGCACCCACUCUCACAUUUUUAUUGGUUAUAUAGUAAUCAAAACCCAUCUUGUGAGAUCAAAAUGAUAAGCUAUUCUUCUCUUGUAUAAAUCUACUUUUCUAUCUCAUAAUUAGGUAUAUAUCGUCUUGUUUAGUAAUGUCACUAUGCGAGAUGAGGCAGUGACUCAAUAUAUGCAUCUGCAUAAUAUAUAAGUAUAUAUGAGAGAUCUACUCCUUCACGAAUGUGAUAAUUUUUGACAGUCAAAAAUUACUCGAUUAUGCCUUGGAAUGUAACUUAGGUAGCGAUUAAGUGUGAAAACCAUGCAAGCAUACCGUUCAAAUGCGAAAAGUUAUCUAGUUAUUCUCCUCUUGCUUCUGAAAUACAAGUCUUUGCAAAUCCCAUGCGCUCUCCCACCACAAGAAGUAAACGAAACAGAAGCAAACAAAAACUAUUUAUAUUAUGAGUUUAUGUUUUUUUUCUUUUUUUUUUGUUAACUCAAAAGAUUGAACACACUACAAAGAAGCUCCUAAUUUAUAUCCCAAUACUAAGGAGAAUCGGAAACAUGACCAAUAGUAGCAAGAGCAUUGGCAGCGAGACUAGUUUCACCGAAAACAAGUGUGAAAGAGAUAAUGGUAAAGUGCGUGUCAAUAUUCCUGAUAUCUUGGGUUAUGGUAAAGAGCUUCCAAGGGGUGGUGCAUUUCCCGAUGACGAAAUUGAAAAUGAAUUGAGAACAACCCUCCACAUAAAGUAUUGAAUAUUUAUCGUUCUAGCUUUAACAAAACUGUCUUUAAGAGUAAUAACUUCUGAAAACAUAAAAGUUAUGGAAAAUUUUAUAAUGAGGUAAUGCAUGUCAUGCAUCAAUUAUGUCAUAAAGAGGUAACACGAGUCUUUAAAGUAGUAAUAUUAGUCUUCAAAGUUGUAAUAUGAGUCCUUAAAGUUGUAAAAAAACUUAAUUACAACAUUAAUCAUCAUGUGUCAUUAAAUUAGUAAAAUGUGUGCUUAAAGUGAUAAUAAAAAAUGACAUCUCACUACCCUAAACAAUUGCAUAAAACCGAAAAACCACAUUUGAACAGAGUUAAACAAAUAAAUACAUAAGCGCAGACCCGCAGUACAUAGUAUCACGCCAUGUUAGCAAUUUUUUAUGUAAAAUACAUAAAAACCAAUAUUUUCUGAAAUAUCUACAAAAUUGUCACUGCCUUAACCAAAAAUAUAUUCUUUCUCUUUCUUCUAUCUGUCAUAUUUCGGAUCUGAUUCUCUCUCUCUCUCUCUCUCUCUCUCUCUCUCUCCAAUUGCAAAAAGAAGCGUUGGUGCCGUCACCUCAACGCUCAACGAUGACCAGCACCGCUGCACUCGAAGACGGUCGACGCUUGAAGCCUAAUCGACUCGCUAGUUGGAAUAGCCACCGGUUUGGGAUGAUGCUCAACCGACCCGACCCGAUUCUCUGGCUCCCGGUUUAGGUUGCUACUGCCUUUAACCGCAAGCGAUUGACUGGGCGUGACGUCGCUUUGAGCUCGUCGGAGUUGCUCGGCGGCCUUCUGGUUCUGGUGAACCCUGUGCGCUCUGGCGGGAUUGUAAAAUUGAUCUUUGCUGUGAGCACGUGUCACUUGCAAUCUCGUCCCCAACAUAUCUCAAACUACAGCUACGCCAAAAACUGUAAAUCCGGUUGGUUUAUCGGAGCUUUUAAAUCCUUAAGAAAAGUCAACAAAAUUGGAACCGGUAAGCAGUUACUCGAUUGUCACAACGUAUGUUGUGAAAUCGGUGCAAAUUGGAAACGAAUCAGAUCGUAAAAAACAGAAAUGGCAAAACCCUAGAAUGGAGGCUGGGACUGAAAUGGAUAUGGUAAAGGUAGGUUGUCAGGGGUAAAUUGGUAAUAUCAGUUCAGGUAGAGAAAACAGAGAAAGGAAAAAUGGAGGAAGCAAGGCGUAUAACUAUAGAAUUGGAUGAGACUCAAUUAAUCUUCAUGUAGUAGCAAAAACUUGAAAAACAUGAGUGCAGUAACAUAACUACAACAAGAAUACAACGAGUAUAGUAGAAAAAAAAAAUGAAAGAGUGAUGUAGUAGAACCGAACAGUAGCAUAAUUCAUAAAUGAAUUUUUAUGUCAAUACUGCAUUUACUGAACCUGCUACUACACUAACCGAACCAAUAAAAACCUACUACUACCGCACGUACUGAAAAUAGGAGCUGCUGCUGCUACUACAUUUGUUAAGCCACUAAAAACCUGCUACUACACUUACUGAAGCUGCUACUACACUAGCUGAACUAUUAAAACCAUGCUACUACAUUUGUUGGAAGUGUAGUAGCAGCUAACUCUCCAGUAAAACAUGCUACUACAUUAAUUGAGCCACUGUAAACAAGCUACUGUAGUUACUACACUAACUGAACCACUAAAAAUCUGCAUUAAUUGAGCCACUGUUACUACAUUAAUUGAGCCACUGUAAACAAACUAUUGUAGUUACUAAAGCUGUUACUACACUAACUGAACCACUAAAAAUCUGCUACUGCAUUUAUUGCAAGUGUAGUAGCAGCAGCAGCAACAACAUUCCAGCAAGUGCAAUAACACUGAAAAUAAUAGCAGCAGCUGCUGCUACUACUACAUUUGCUGAGCCAUUAAAAACCUGCUACUACACUUAUUGAAGCUGCUACUACACUAGCUGAACCAUUAAAACCCUUCUACUACAUUUGUUGGAAGUGUAGUAGCAGCAGCUAACUCUCCAGUAAAAUGCUACUACAUUAGUUAAGCCACUAAAAUCUGUUAUUGUAGUUAUUGAAGCUGCUACUCAUGGCCGCCCUUGUCGAGGCCCUAGAUGUAAAAAUUAGAAAAUAAUUAUCAUGAAAAUUUUCAUUAAUAUUGAUUGCAAUUAAUUAAAAUUCAAGAAAUAAACAUUCAUAAUGAAAAGAGUUAAUUAUUUUCAUGUUAACAAGUCAAUUAAAUAUCAAACUGAACUCGCACAAAUGGAAAGAAGCAUAUGCUAUUAGAAAUAAAAUCUGAAAAUUGGACUAUAUUUAUAGUAAAAUAGUAAAAAACAGUAAAAAAUUCAUUUGAAUACAAGUUAUGUAUGAAAGUUUUUAAAUAUGGAGUUCCUUAUAAUUGUGGAGGCCAUAGACACAAGCCUUGUUGGUCUUGCCUCAGGGCCGGCAGUGCUGCUACUAUACUAACUGAACAACUAAAAAUCUGCUACUGCAUUUAUUGAAAGUGUAGUAGCAACAACAUUCCAGCAAAUGCAAUAACAGCUAAUAAAACAAUACAUGGUGGGGUCUGAUUGAAUUUGAUUUAUUUUGUAUAAGGUCAAUUUAGUAAAUUAAAUUAUGACACAUGGCAAGCAGAAAAUAAUUUGUCCUUAUUUGUUAAAAACUGUCAUUAUUUGUUUAACAACAACACAAGUGGAUUUAUUUGUGUUUCAAAUCCUUUUAAAAGAUGUAUAUGUGAUUUUUUGAGUCUUCAAAAUGAUAAAAGAAAAGUUGUUACAACUUUGAGGACUUAAUUACUACUUUAACGACACAUGAGGACUAAUGUUUUAACUAAAAUUUUACAACUUCAAGGACUCAUAUUACAACUUUAAAGACUAAUAUUACUACUUUUAGGACUCAUUUUACAACUUUAUGACAUAAUUAAUGCAUGACCUGCAUUAACAUAUCUUAGCCUUACCCAAAAAUUACUAGCAUCUCAUUACCCUUAAAUAUCAUUACAUGGUAGAAUAAAAUACACGGAGAUAACAACUCCGUUGUAAUAAUAAUAAUAAAAAAAAAACUCAUAUACAUCCCCUAUUCAUGAAUAGAAUACAUAUAGUGGGGAAUGUCAUGAAAACGAGAACUGAAAACCCUAAUCAACUGUUAAAUCCAGGUUAACUGGUUGUCUCUUGUCAGUUGGAUUCAAAUUCAAAUAAUCGUUAAUCUACAAGCCGCUCUACACUAAUUUCCUAAUCGGCAUCAGUUGAAACAUUAAUUUUGGAAAUAAAAAAAAAGGAAAGAAAAAAAAAAGUGAAAUUGCAGAAAGCCGCGUGAUAUCACGUGAGGUGCAUGAGGGGGUCAGGUGGGUGGGAAUACAAGAAGACCGUAGACCACUCUGGGGGGUGUAUUAAUUGAGUGGAAACAAUUGGCGGCAGUGGACAUAAACCGCGUGCCUAACGCGCACGUAGGCCCCGCCGGCUCCAUAUUAAUACUUUGCUUCAACUUUACGCUUCCUCUUUUUGCACCCUGCUCCACUCGCCCUCCUCACGCGUGCCAUGCAGAGCCCGCCCAAUCUCCUCCUCUUGUCUUUGUCUUCUAGUAAUCUUGUUUAAUGAUGUGAAAAUAUUUUCAGUAUUGCAUAUUGAUAAUAAAAGUUUUGUAAUAAUUUAAACUAUUAUUUCAAGUAAAUUCAUCGUACUAUAAUGAUAUGUGAUCAUGUACUUCUAGAACGAUAUGUGAUCAAGUAAAUUACAUAUUAGUUACUAAUUAAAUUUCAGUAUACAAAUACAUCAUUUACACAUUAUAUUACAUAUUCAAGGACAAAAAAUAACAAAUUAAGACAAAUUAAUGUCCACAUACCAUCUAUCACGAUGUAUUUACCAGAAUACCAUUCACUACUUAUUCACCAAAUUGCAAAUGUUUGUACUACAUAUUCAGAAAGGUGCUACUUGCUACAAAGCUGCUAUUGUCCGAUUGUGAGUUCAACAACUCUGCUACUGCUCGACAGGGAGUUCACAACGCUGCUACUGCCCGACUAGGAGUUCACAACACUGUUACUGCCCGACUAGGAGUUCACAACGCUGCUACUGCCCGACUGUGAGUUCAACAAUCCUGCUACUGCCCGACUGGGAGUUCACAACGCCGCUACUGCCCGAUUGUGAGUUCAACAAUCCUGCUACUGCCCGACUGAGAGUUCACAAUGUUGCUACUGCCCGACUGUGAGUUCACCAACGCUGCUACUGCCCAACUAGGAGUUCACCAACGCUGCUACUACCCAACUGGGAGUUCACAAUGCUGCUACUGCCCGAUUAUGAGUUCAACAAUCCUGCUUCUACCCGACUAGGAGUUCACAAUGCUGCUACUGCCCGAUUGUGAGUUCACCAACGCUGCUACUGCCCAGCUGAAAGUUUACCAACGCUGCUACUGCCCAACUAGGAGUUCACAAUGCUGCUACUGCCCAACUAGGAGUUCACAAUGCUGCUACUGCCCGACUGGGAGGCUUAACGGUCGAUUAACGGCGAAGCUUUGCUGGUGGUAUUGCCUCCAACACGGAGGAGCUUAGGAUGCUUAUAGAUCUCGCUGGCUGGCAGAGUCAAGCUCGGCUUCGUCGGAAUCUUACAAGGCAGCGCCAAAGUGGUUUAUCGUCAUCGUUGUCGAGGUUGUCAUCGACGGCUUUGGCGAACGAGGAGCAACCAAAUCAUGACAGAGAGACGGCAGAUCUGAGGCGUCAACGCGGUACAGCCAUUAGAGCACCUCCGAUCUCUCCGCCAAGAAGGCCGCCGCUCAAGAAGUGCAGACAGCGAUUCCAAACCAAGAUGUUGGUCGCACAAAGCCUCUAGGUCUUCACCGGUGAGCUCGUGUGGCCUGCAACGACGACGAUUUGGCCAUAAUGGUGAAUCAGAUAGAUCGAAGACGGAGAAUGUGAAUUUGAGAGAGAGAGAGAGAGAGAGAGAGAGAGAGAGAGAGAGAGAGAGAGAGAGAGAGAGAGAGAGAGAGAGAGAGAGAGAGAGAGAGAGAGGGAUGAGGGAUGAGGGAUCAGAUCGAAGAGGGUUAGGAAGAGAGAAAGAGUGGCAUACGCGUAAUUUGAUCCUGAAAGCUGGAUAUUUUGGUCAUUUAAUGGUCAAAACUCGGGUUAGAUCUGAUACUGUAGGUUUUGGGCCUCAGCUUGUGUCCUAAUUUGUCUAAAAAAUAUUGAAAGUGGGUUUUUUGUGUUUUUAAAUUGGUCAUGUGUUACUAUGUAAUUUUCUCAUGAAUUAUCUCCUAUAUAGUGUUAGAAAUGUCCCUCCCAACGUUAACAAAAUUUGUGAUAAUGUUCCUUAACGUUUUAGAUCGACCUCACAUUCCAUAGACGGCCUCAAUCCCUCAAAUUAUAGAAGAUAUGUCAUAAAUGUUGAGAUAUCGAUCUCAUAUUAGAAAUAUGAGACCUUACAUGUGGGUUAAAUAUAAACCCAUAAUAAGAGUUUGGGUCAUUUCAUCCAUUAUCAAUUAAUUUUGAAUGUAAAACUCAUACUACUUUAUCAAUACAUUUGCACAUGUGCGAUGCACGUGCUAUUGGUGAACAGAAAAUCAAGAAAACGGUGCAAGUUUUUUUGUGACCACCUUCUUUAAUUUUAUUUUUGUACCUUUCUUAAUUAUGUGAUCAUUUUCAAUCUUUUAAUAUGAAGGGGUUUUAGAAAAUCCAUAAUUUAGUGAAACUUUUGCCUUGAAUUUAUGGUAGCAAUAGAGGUGACGAAUAUCCGCAAAUUGUUUAGUUUUAAUUUUUCUAGCAUACAAAAUAGAAGCUAGAACUCGAUCUCCUUCUCUAUCAUUCAAAAUUAAUCUGGUUGCUUUCACCCUUGAUUGAUUUCAGAGUAGACAAGAAUAAAUGAUGUGAUUACUUCCGUCCAAAAAAAUGAGAUUUAAAUUGCAGGACUCGAUCUCCUAUUCUCUUUCAUUCAAGAAAAUUCUGGUUGCUUUGGUUAUGUUCUUCCUCCAAAUUAUAAAAGCGGCAAGGAACAAGUUGGAUCAUCUCAUCAUGAAGCAAGAUUUUUUUUGGAGGAAUGUGGUAAUAAAGUCAAAAAAGUAGUUAUCACGUAUGCAUGAUUAAGAUCAGAAUGAGUUGUAGAGGACUAACUAUCAGCAACUUUAGAAAACUAAUCUGAAUACUAAGAAUUUUCGUUUGUUAGUAUCCUAAUGCAUGUUAUAGAGAUUUUGAGUAUUUCGUAAGGGAAAAAACAAAAACUAUGUGUAAAUUCGAAACCUGAUUGUGAGAAAUAAACGAUUGAAAAUAUUAACGUUGGGCUAAUCUUAAGCUUCAUAUAUCAAAACGUUAUAUAAAAAUCUAGUCCUAACUCGUUAUCUUGGGACAUAUAAACUAAUUUUUGAUGAAAUAUAUAUAUCUUAAAUGAACGUGUCAUUGUAACUUACACUUUUAAUUCAUCAAUGAUAAGUGGGAACCAAUAAAUAACGUGGUCACUACACCAAUUAUCGAUUCAUAUAAGCAAUGAAGCAAAUUCAGUCUAUUUGAAAUUAUGUAAGAGCAACUCCAAUAGCUUCUCAAUAUUUUUGGUUUUCUUAAUUUUGGAGAAGAUUUUGGUUGUUUUACCCCAACAGAUUCCUUAAACUUUUCUCCAAAAUAGAGAAUGUGAUGAGAGGCAAAAUUAAAUUCUUUAUAUUUGCAGCAAACUCUCAAAUUUUAGGGAAAGAUUCGGGAAAAAUUCAUAAAAUUUCCAAAAUAGAGAAUAUAUUGGAGUUAGAGAAGAAAAAUUACUUGAAACAUUAACUUUUGCUUCUCCAUUAUAGAGAAAUUAUAAAGAAGCUGUUAGAGAUGCUCUAAGAGUAUACAUCAUAUGAAAUAAUCUUAUAUAUAAUCAUGUCAGAUAUGAGCUUGGUUGGGUUGCCUUAUGAGAUACAAUGUGUGCAAUCUUAUACAUUAAUCAAAACAUAAAGUCAGAAUUAACUUGUAAUGACACAUGAACGUAAUUGAUCAAGAAUCAUUCAAAAGAGUUGAAAAUCCAAAAAUAAUUGGAGAAGAAAACACAAAAAUAAACCAAGUGGGAAAGAAAUGCAACGGUUACGUUAGAAUUCGGCCGAUAGGGAGAGGCUUGAACACAAAGGCACGACGACUCAGAAAAUAAAUAAUUGCACGAGGAAAUAGUAUCGGACUUCGGGUUCCGCCCGACAUGGCCCAAGAUUCAUUCCCGAUUCGGUCAACUAAUUUAGCCAACGCCUUCGUGCUUCAGUUACUCCCCAAUAUUUAAUGCAUUCAUCAACGCUCGCUAUUCAGCACAUACAGAUAAAGAGCGCGUGCAUUGCACUUUCCACUACAAGAGACAAAGAGGAGGGAUCAUGAUUGACGGGUGGGUUUCUUUUCGGUGGUGCGCGUGGGUCAAUGUUUUAGAGAAAAGACUCUGGCGCCGCAAUUGAAGAGCUUGUCCACUGGCGUGUGCACGUGGUUUGUUGGCUCCUGCAGUCCUGCUGUAUUUAUACGGCGUAUCCUCCGCCGAAACAAACCCGCAGUCGACAAAAAAAAAAACCAUGGUUAGGUUAAUACAAUAAUAUAGAAUGUUCUAACUUAUAAGCCUCAAUGUUCUAACUUAUAAGCCUCACAUUUUUAUUUUAUCAAAUACAUAAUUAAUAUGCUACAUUACUGUGAGUUGAAUUCGCCGAGUUUUGUUUGAUACACUGAUUAUAAGGAUCAUAUGGAUGAGAUGAUCGAGCUAUUGCUAUUGCUAUUUUUUUCAGUUGUAAAACUUUGUAAAGCGAGUUAACACUCAUGUUUACCUAGUCAGCUACUCUGCAAGAACAUCAUGCUCAACUAUAUCUUGAUACAAAUUCAAUGCAGGGAAAAGUCUAUUGUCUUCAACGAUGUAUACCUUUAAAGGUGAAUCAAAUGAAUAUAGUAUCUUAAAUCAAUUAUUGAUCAAACGAACACUAUUGAACGAAUUGAAGUAGCCGUACAACGUCAACUAAUAUAUUAGAAAAGAUUAAUUCAUUAAACUAGUAUGUAUUUUCAUUUAUGUAGCUAAUAAGUUAUUUUAGCAAUUCUAACGAUAACAUUCGGGUCGAAACGAUUAGGAACCAGUAGACUUCAAAUCAAAGAAAAUCAAACGUACACAUAUAGAAGAAAAAAACAAAUCACAAGUUUGGGCACGAGUUUGAUACUUCGAUAGAGAGUUGUGCUGUUGGCUUUUGGAGAAAAAAACCCAAUGAGGAGUGAAAAGCAUGAGUAUUUCCACGUCGCAAGUUCCCCAUUGCCAUAAACUAGUAGUCCUCCUAAAAGGAUCACGAAACAGACAGGGAGAGUCAACCUCAGCCAUUUGAUCCUUGCCGUUCUGACGUCAAAAACUCUCCUUUUACCUCAUCGACGGCUGGCAUUCCCUCCCUUUAAGUCCUUGUCACUCCAACUAUGCAAAAUAGAAAUUGAAACCUUGCCUUUUGGUACGCGUAUACGACUUUCAUUGAAAACGAUUUCUAAUUAAUUAAUUAAUUUUGCAAAAAAGGCUUAGAGAUGAGGAUGAGCAUGACGAUGAUUAAUUACUUAAUUAGUGACUGGAUUAAGAUUAGGCCCAAUUGGAGAUUUUCAUAAAUUAUUUUGGUGGUUUAUCCUAAUCGGUCAAAAAUAGAAACUUGGUGUCCUUGACACGAAUUAUACAUAAGCCUGCACUAGUUUGUCAACUAGGAAAUGGGGGGAGUUGGUAAGUGGAUCACUAGCCGUCGGUUUAGUUGGUUGCGACGGUGAGCUAAAGGUGAUCCGGCGGAUAAGAUUAAAUAAAAUGUGUGUUUGUCAAACAUAGUGGAUCAUGCGCGCAUAGGUGACUAGAGAUAGGAUCAUGAUUGUGUGCUCGUUAGUGCAUUGUUUUAUUAUUGCGCUAAACAUUGAUCUGGGUAGGACGUAUUUAGUUUGAGAAAAACAAAUACUAGGUCUAGAUAGCAAAAAAAAAAGGAGAUACGAUUAUACAUUCCUGUUUCAAUAAGAAUUAGUCAUAAGAUAGACACAUAAAUAAGGGUCGUAAGUCGUAACACUAUACAUCGGCAAAUAUAAAAAAACAAUCACAAAUAAUUUCACAUGCUACUACAUUAGCCGUAAAGCGAUAGAGUUAUAAUUCAAGCCCUCAAGGACUCAAGGUAUAUGGCUUAUUUGUAAGAGUUCUUUUUUUUNNNNNNNNNNNNNNNNNNNNAAAAAAAAAGUCGGUUCAUCAAUUCAGUAUUAUGAGGCAUCAAAACCUUCAACUUUUUCUACUAUGCUCAACUCAAUAUCAUGAAUGAGUUAUGAGAGCUACAUAAAUCAUGUGUAUUCAUCAGUUUUAGAGCCUAACGCAUGAAUAACGCAUCGGCUAAUGGGAAUUUUUGUAUACAUUUUGAAAAAACGGUUCAAGUAGUAGUUCCUUGAUCACAAAAAGAUUUGGUCGGUUUGUCGCUCUAACAUUAUGUAACGAUUUAAGGGUUCAACCAUCUCCACUACCUUAACCUCCAUUGAAUGAAUACUAUGAACUAAGUCUGCCGGCUGUUCACUUUUACUAGGCUUAUGUCAGUAUGUCUUUUAAACCAAACAACAGUUAAAACAAGACUUAAACGUUAUCUCAUAAAUAAGUUACACCGACUAUCUAAAAUAAACGUAUCGAUUGGUUUUAAGAGCUUCACACAUAACUCGUUAAGUAGCGAUACACUUUGAAGUUAUUGCCUUCAAUAAAAAAUAUAUAUUUUGUUUUGUACUAAUUUCUCCAUAUACCUCCAACACCCCAAAUACAAAACAUUCAAAAUAAAAUAGAGAAUAUUGUAAAAUGGAUAGGACUAUGCUCAAUACAAAAGUUCUGUAGUGUUGUGUUAACUUUUAAAAUAUAUCUUCUCAAUUUGUUGAUUUUUAUUUAUCAAUAAAUUAAGCUUAAAUAGUGAGCACUAGAUGAACCUAACCAGAUCGAGAAGGUGUGAAAGCCAUAAAAUAUAGUCAACAAACUAACAAAUUGAAGCUGCGACCAACUCAAACUCCACCGACAGGUGCCCGUCACCGUAUGGACAGGUGCCCGUCACCGAACCGAGUAGUACUACGUGGCAUGCCCUCAUUGGCUACAAUGAAUUGAAUGAGCAAGCCAGACGUCACGACCAGAACCGGGACACCGGAGAGCGACGCAAUAAUGAAAAUAAAAAAACACAAGGGGGGCUUAGAGUGAGAUAAUCAUGACUAGCAUUGUAAUUAACGGAGGAGAUUAAGGCGCUCCGGGCCUUUAUAUAAACCAAGAGGCAGAGCUUUGCCAGUCAGAGAGAAACAAAGUGAGGCCGAGAGUACACAAAAAAAAAAAAAAAAAAAUCAAACAGGAGUGAAAAUCAGUGAGAGAGUUUCAGAUUUGUGUUGUUGGUUGUUGCUUUCUGUGUUUGAAAAAAUCCCCCCCUUCUGUAAUUUGAAUCCCUUUCUGUUAAUCAUCUGUGUUUUCUCAAAAGAUUAAUGGUUUCUUGGGUUUGUCUUUUCAAAGCUUAGAAAAUAUUGAUUUCAAAGAAGCUCAGGUGUUUGCAGAAUUGAGAUCCAUCUUUGUAUUUAGUUAUUUUUUUUUCUAGUUUAAAUUUUUCAUUUUCGAGGGUUGUUUUUGAUCCCUCUCCCCCAGGAGUAUCAAGAGGUUGAUUAUUUGAAAUCUCUUUCGAUCUCCCUAAUUGGUGACCUGUUGUUCUUUAAUUUUAUCGAAGAACCGGGUUUGAUUUUUUAUUUUUAAAUUUGAACCAAGUUAUUUAUUGUUAGUAUCAUCUUUGAAGAAUUUGAUUUUGAAGGAAUGGCAGCUAUGGAUUUCUACAGUAGCAUACCUCUUCAGUCAUCUUCCGAUCCUUUCACCGGUGAGCUCAUGGAAGCACUUGAACCUUUUAUGAAAAGUGCAUCUCCACCGCCACCUCUAUCUUCUUCUUCUUUUGAUUUCAACCCUUCUAUCCCAACCCCAUCUUCUUCUUAUUCUUCUUCUCCCACCCCUUUUCUUCCUUCUACUUCUUCUCCUUCUUCUUCCUACGACUACCUCUCUUUCUCUCCUUCCAUCCCUACUCCUCAGCCCGGUUUGUUCCAAGACGGUUGCUCAACCUUUAACAUGGGUUUCGAGCAGCAAGGUUCGAUCGGGCUGAACCACCUUACUUCUUCCCAGAUCCACCAGAUCCAGACUCAGUUCCAGUUCCAGAAUCAACCCCAGAUGGCGUGGCAACAGAGUUAUCAACAGCCGCAACCGUCUCAUACUCUCAGCUUUCUCAGUCCCAAACCUGUUCCGAUGAAGCAGUCUGGUUCCCCGCCCAAGCCCACCAAGCUUUACCGGGGAGUGAGGCAGAGGCACUGGGGGAAAUGGGUGGCCGAGAUCCGCCUACCCAAGAACCGUACCCGCCUCUGGCUUGGAACUUUCGACACAGCUGAAGAAGCAGCCUUGGCUUACGACAAAGCAGCUUACAAGCUCCGUGGUGACUUUGCCCGCCUCAAUUUUCCACAUUUGAAGCACACUGGGUCCGUCGUUGGUGGAGAGUUCGGCGAGUACAAGCCUCUGCAUUCCUCUGUUGACGCGAAGCUUCAGGCCAUUUGCGAAGGCUUGGCUGAGUCGCAGAAACAGGGGAAGGCAGGGAAGCAGGCGGGUGGGGCCAAGAAAUCUUCGGCCGCCCGCACGAAGCCGAAAUCAACACCAGUGCCGGAACCGGAACCAGAACCGGAGGCUUUGACCGUGAAGGAGGAGACCUCCUCCUUGUCGCCGGUGAGGACGGAUAGUGAUGGGUCUGCAGGGUCUUCUCCUCUAUCGGAUCUGACCUUUGCCGACUACUCAGAGUCCUCAUCGCCUUGGGAGAACAACGGAUCAGAGAGUUACCUGUUGGAGAAGUAUCCAUCAGAGAUUGAUUGGGCUUCGAUCUUCAAUCAAAAUUCGAAUUAGUCCAUUUCGGUUUUAUGUAAUUGUAAUUGGGUAUGCUUUAGUUCGUUUGUUCAAACAAGAGUCAGAGUCUUAAGUUCAGCAAGUAAUUAGGGGGCUACUGCAAUCAAGUUUUUGGCAGUUGCAGGGCCUAAUUUAGGGUUUAGUGGAUCAUUUCGGGUAGUAGUGGUUUAUGUUAAUAUUAUGAUGUAAAUCAACUUCAUCAUGGUCAGCUGGUUUUUUUCUUGCCAGACCAUGAGUGAUUGUGUACUUCCUUUUUAUGUAAUCAUCUUAUUCUAUUCUAGUAUGCACUCUUUAGUUGUUCAUAUAUUAAAUCCUAUUGUCAUUUUAUCGAGUAGUGUUGAUGCAUUCUUUUAUAUUUGUAUCCUUUUGUCAUUUUAUCAAGUAGUGUUGAUGCAUUCUUUUAUGUCUUCGAAUCAAAUUUGAAGAUAAAGAUGACGUAGAUGAUGAUCGAUGAGUGUUGUGCUCUGUGGUUGAGGUUCGAGUAGUACAGAAAUCUGGAAGAUAUUUGAACACAUGUGAUGCUGAGUCGAGAGGUUGUCAUUCAUACAUCUUAUGGACCCAUUUUGGAUCAAGAUUUUGCGAUAUUUAGCUGAGGAAUCUGGAAAGAUUGGGGAGACUUACUAUUCUCGUUUCUCAAGUAGUACACUCACGGACCUUCAAACUUGGGUGGCUGCAAAUAAAUCCAUCAUUGUCCUUCUGGUUUCACAUUAGGAAAGAUUCUAGCUCACGAGUGUAACAGAUCAUACUCAACAAAAACUGUAUCGGGUGAUCGAUAAUCAAUUAACCUGGAUACCUGUAUGCAAUUAAGAUCACGAUUCAGAAGCAUUCAACAUGAGUGUUAUUCAUAAUCAAUAGAUGAAGCUACUGCUAUAUCAGGUAAAUGGUACCCUAUACGUUGUUAGUUGCAGGGAUUCUUUCUCUUGUGGUUGAGUGCUGCCAACCUUUCCCCUACCAUGUUUUUCUUUUUCCUCUGAGCAAAAUGAUUCAUUGGAUUGAUGUAGAAGCAAUAAUCAUUUAGGCAUGUGUAGGUUAUACUCCAAUAUGAGCACUAGGCAACAUGAUUUCAUCGACUAUCCCAUGUAAUCUGGUAAGGGAUGUACACAGAAUUUUGAUUUCAGACACACUUCAUCUCUAAUUCACUUGAUGCGUUAUGAAGCUUCUGCAACUGCUAAAUAUGUUUCACUGACGAGGCGAUCCAAACAUAUUUUUUUCUGGUAGCUGAUAGAUGAACUCUAGUCUCUACUGCCUUAUGAAGCCUGCAUGCUUUCACUUGCAGAUUUCAUCAUUUUCUUUAAGAUUUAGAUACUUGUAAUAAUGAUGCAAUAAUGUUAGAUGAAUUGCUUCAAAAAUACAAAAGCUAGGUACUUAAUUAGGUUAACAAUUUUACUAACUAUUAAAUCUCUUAAUUUGAAAACUCACAUUCAACUCCUUCACUAAUAUCAGAUAACUGGAUGCACGAAGGAAGAAGGUUCAUUUUCAAUGACCACAAUGGUUUGAAUAUAUCAAUAAUUUGAAUAUGUGUUUGUGCACAUUAUUAAAUCUUCUACUGCUAGAAACAAAAUAAAGAAAGAAAAGGAUUAUCAUUAUACAACUACAAUGAAAGAACUGUCCUCUAGUUUCAUCUGGAGAAAUCUUUAUGAUUCAUAAAUCAAGAUGACACCAAGUGUCAAGCAGAACUUGGUUACAUGAUUUGUACGAUAUACCAUAUAUUAUAGAUUUAGCCAUAGUUGACAAUCUCAAUGAGUGCUUGAAUAAAACUAGUUCAUCAUGCUUUCAUUUCAUAAUUAAAUAGAAGCUACAGGAGGAAUAUUCUCCCAAAGUUCAUAGCUCUGUCACUGAGUACUAAUGUGAAGGCAAAAUGUUGCUGAAUUUUAUAGAAAAAUUCACAUGGAGACUGGAAAAUUCACUUCCAUUUGAACAGUCUAUGGCUCUAUGCAUGUGCUAAGUGAAUUUCUUGUCUCACAAAUUAGUCAAAUAUUUCCAGAAUAUAAAGAAUGGGAGUAUUUCAGGUGUGGCCUGGUGAUUAGAUAUGCGUGCACGAAGCAGAUGCAAUGUUGAAAUUCGAAAGCUGAGUUAUUAGUUAACUAAUCCGUUUAGUAAGACUAUGCCUUGCGACGCAGGCCAUUGAUUGAACCCUACGUUACUAACCCUACGAAAGAGUAAUGUGGUGGUGGCGAUCAAAGGGACAGUUUCCCAAUAAAUGAUAGGGCAGAUUGGCCAAAAUAUUUGUUCGUAUUCUUUGGAUGUUCAUCUUUAUUCUUAUUCUUCCUUCCAAGUGUACAUAGCCAUAUUGCAUAAGAAAGGCCACAGAAAGAGUCUGAAAGUAGAUCCAAAGCCUGUAGGGUAUUUGGAAUCCAUUUGCUACAAAAUCAAGAAAGUGGGUUUGAUUCUUAAACAUUCUUGUAUGCACGACGUGUAUUUACACGACGCAAUCUUAACUGUUCAUAACAAUUCAUAUGUUUGACUACCAUGUUUCUAUAAUAUUUGCUCUAAUCUUGACUAUUCAUAUAAAUAUACACACCGUAUACUAAAGAUGUCUCGUCGUUGCUCUUUAAAAACAAUGUGCUAAUGUUUUGUUUUGUUUCUUGACUUCUUCUGUACAUUCCAAAAGCACUUCUGGAAAAAGAAAAAAGACAUGUGAAAUAGCAUAACAGUGCAAAGGGUGUUUUGGAAUUUGGAUGAAUGGAGUAGACAUAUGUUUGGCAUUUUGCUCUUUUCAUUAAAGGUGAUUUAGAUCAGUGAGGCUGAGGCUGUCCUUCUGAUGAUAAGCUGUGGAAGAAUCCCAACAAAUUGUGAAAGAAAAGUUCCAAUACAUGGAGAUUUGAGAAUAGACUCGCCUUUUCAGUUUUUUCUUCUCCAUGGUGCCCACAGGUUUCUUCACUCAUUUUGUUUUUGGUGUGAGAGACAAACGUGCCAAAAAGUUGAGAAAUUCCAAUGUUAUCUAGAUGAAGCAGCGGCUAAGACUUUCCCAUAGCUAAAUCAGAGGCCUUAUGGCUAAUGUGGACUUGAUACAUAUUCCCUGCAAAGCAUCAACAAACCGUCCCACACCAGGAACUUUCCGGCCGAAACCAACCUGUGGUGUUUGCAAAACCACUUCCUCAACCCUCAACUAUCGUCUUCUUUGGAUACGUACGCACCCUCAAAGUUACCAUGGUGCCACCUAGAGACUAGAGCUGGUCUUUCAGAAUCUACCAUGUUCGAGACAUUUCAGUACAUUGAAACUUUUGUUCAGCAGAUAAUUUCUGGACUCCGAGUCUCCCACCGACCUUCAUUCGAUCAAGAAAGUAUCUUAGACAUCACUUAUAUUUGUAGACUCGACAUGGUGUUGCGUUUUAAUAGAGUUCAGAAAAUAUUUUAAACUUUGGUACUAUCCCAUUUCAGAUAAAUUAUGAAUAAACGACCGUUUAAAUGGACGACACUUGUCUAAGUCAUUGCCGAGCCCAGUAGCGUAGGUUUGUAACUAAGCAGGGCGUUAAAGUGACUGGUUGCCUAUCCUUGCUAGGAGAGGUGCUAGGGUCUUGAUUUGUAGCUCACUUCAGUGAGCAUUGCUACACACGCCCACCCACGGAUCAAGAUACUCCUGCAUCAUCGUGCGACCUAGUAUAGGCUUUGUCCUACAAUCACUUUUUAACUUGUUAUUGUCUCUCUUACCAGCUUAAUUUUUUGUUAAUCACCUGGUGUGGUAAGAUUGGUCGAGUUGUCUAGUAUGUAAACCCCAUAUCUAGAGUUUAAGUACCAACUCUCAACAGUUUGUGGCCAGCAGGUUUGAGGUGACUUUGUGUUUGUGCACAUGCGGCGGGAGAUUAGUCUACCCUUGCUGGGAUACAUUUGUAAACCUCAAGAUACUCUUGCAUCUCAUCGUGCGACCUAGCAUAGGCUUUGUCCUACAAUCACUUUUUGACUUGUUAUUGUUUAUCCUACCAGCUUAAUUUUUUGUUAAUCACCUGAUGUGGUAAGGUUGGUCGAGUUGUCUAGUAUGUAAACCCAAUAUCUAGAGUUUGAGUACCAACUCCCAACAGUUUGUGGUUAGCAGGUUUGAGGUGACUUCGUGUUUGUGCACAUGCGGCGGGAGAUUAGUAUACCCUUACUAGGAUACACUUGUAGAUCUCGGUGUGCAUAUUGACUGGGUUAGUAUGUUACUGACUUGCUAACUUAACCGAUGCCAAAAAGUUGAGAAAUUCCAAUGUUAUCUAGAUGAAGCAGCGGCUAAGACUUUUCCAUAGCCAAAUGAGAGGCCUAAUGGCUAAUGUGGACUUGAAUCACUUGAUACAUAUUCCAUGCAAAGCAUCAACAAACCGUCCCACACCGGCAACUUUCCGGCCGAAACCAACCUGUGGUGUUCGCAGAACCACUUCCUCAACCCUCAACUCGUCUUCUUUGGAUACGCGCGCACCCUCAAAGUUACCAUGGUGUCACCUAGAGGCUAGAGCUGGUCUUUGAGAAUCUACCAUGUUCGUGACAUUCAGUAUAUUGAACUUUUUGUUUCUAUUAGUUUAGUAGAUAAUCACAACCCGACCUUCCAUUCUUUCAAAAAGGUCAUGACUUAAUCUUAAAUGUCACUCAUCGUUGUAAGCUCGACAUAUAAAUGCGUUCUAGUGGAGUUAAGAAAACAUUGUAUACUUUGGUAAGUCUCACAUCAGAUAAAAUAUGAAUAAACGAUAGCUUAAAAGGACAACACUUGUUUAAGUCAUUGCCGAGCCCAAUAACGUGGGUUUAUAACUAAGCAGGGCAUUAAAGUGAUUGGUUGGCUAUCCUUGCUAGGAGAGGUGUUGGCGUCUUGAUUUGUAGUUCACUUCGGUGAGCAUUGCUAUGCACGCCCACCCUCGGGUUAGUAGGAAACCCCAUCCUCAAUGGGUGGGUAGUAAAUCAAACUUUGAAUUCAGCAAGAAGGUAUUGGGUGCAACACAUUUGGUUUGCACCCAUGGAUCAAGAUACUCCUGCAUCUCAUCAUGCGACUUAGCAUAGGUUUUGUCCUACAAUCACUUUUUGACUUGUUAUUGUUUAUCCUACCAGCUUAAUUUUUUGUUAAUUACGUAGUGUGGUAAGGUUUGUCGAGUUUGAGUCCCAACUCCUAUCAGUUUGUGGCCAGCAAAUUUGAAGUUACUUCGUGUUUGUGCACAUGCGGUGGGAGAUUAAUCUACCCUUACUGGGAUACACUCGUAGACCUCAAUGCACAUACUGACUGGAUUAGUAUGUUAUUGACUUACUAACUUAACCGAUGCCAUAGCAAUCUCCAAUUAUUUAAAAUUUUUGACAUGUAGCUCGUAUCUUCCAAUCCAUCAUCACCCACCAUCGUCCUAACUGUUGCCCCAUGAAGUGAUGGUAUCAAGGAAUGCUUGAUGACCCUAAGUUAUGUCGAGUAAAGCUACGGUAACCCGGAGUCUUUAGAAAAAUCCAGAAUCUCCUUUGCAGUCAUGCUUGCUGUUUCAUCCAUAACCAAGUCCACCCUAUCAUGUGUUAGGUUUAGCAAACCUAACAUUACACAAGUUUCCAACAAACUCAUUGGCAUGUUCAACUGGUCACUAGGAAUUGGCUGCCAUCCCACUCGAAUUCAAAUUAAGAAUUGAUAAACUAAUCUAAGGGCAAGUUGCCACAAGAAAGCAGGAGUGUAACUCUUGAAUUUCAAAAGCAAGGACCGGGCGACAUAACCGUUUCCUUCCUUUUAAUUUCAGUUUGUUGAAUAUCCUGCAACAAAUGGAAGCCGUACUUUAAUCUUUGAAGCAUAUUCACAUCAUGACUGCGGUUACAAAACUGUUCUAUUGUGGCAUUUGGCAUCUCUAAAUUAAGAAAAUUUCAUUCUAAUCCAUAUGAUCAAACCCAUUCAUGACAAAACUUUAGUUUGUGGUCAUAUGAUGCCAGCCCAAUCCACUUUGAUGAAUCCAUUACAUGCUUCCUCGUUUCUAUCCCGUCUCUGUCCAGAAGGCCAUUGAAAAUUACAGCAGCAAUUUACGGCAACAGCUCCAUUCAACUGAAUUUGCCAAUUUCCAUCUUCUUUUUAAUAGCCUUCUGACCAUGGUAUAUAAAUGAAUCCAAUAUUCCAGACACGGUAAAAACACCUGAAAAACAACAUAGUUUGUGUAUCAAAACAAUAAGAAAAGAAACACGGAUGAACUAUUUGACAAGAGAUCAAGAAUGCAUGAGCAAUUUGAGACCCACAUACCACAAGGAUCAUAAGUAAUUGACAGAAAGGAACCCCUAGAAUGUACCAUGUUGCCAAGGUUAACAAGUCUUUAAAAUGUUCACACAAGGCUAGGAAACUAGGAGAUUACUCUACAGCGUAAGAAUACUUGGAAGUUAAUAAUCAUUCAGUAAUUACCUCCAACAAUGGCACACACAUUUGUCAAGAAGUGUAAGAAUGAAAUAUGCUCCUCUGUGAAAGUUACCUGGAUUAAAAAAAAAUAAAAAAUUAGCUAUGAGACCCAAAAAAGAGAAAAAAGCCCAUGCCCAAAAGUGAUCUAGAUAAGUAUCUUGAAAUUGAUUAAAUAAUAUCCUACGGAAUUGGUAAGCAACAAAACCCACCUUUAUCGGGGAAAGGUCAUAGAAGAAAAACACUCCAGGAAGGAACUGAAGGUUGCCUAUUUCUGUACCCCUAUAAUGUUCAGUGACAGAGAACUGCAAAAUCCAAUUAUGAAGGUAUAACGUUAUAUUCCACCGGCACACAGCAAGUUUCAGAAUAGAACCAUCUAUUAUCCUUUUCCGGUUCGAAUUUACGCACCUGAUUUGACUGGAUAGUGUGCCCACUGACAUCUGUGUACACAGUAGGAACAACCUGCAAAAUGCAAACUAGGAGAAUCAUCAUGCAGUACCAAAGUACCUUGCUUGAAUUUCUGAAUGUUACUAUAUACAAACAAUGUGCACAACUGUGUAAGGCCAACUUCUAGCUAGAGACUAUGCAAGGGGAAAAAGAGAGGCAUUCUCCUGUAUUUACGAUAACUAGAACAAGCAUGUGGUGAAAACAGGUACCUUGGCGAAAAAAAUAAGAGACGUUGGUCUAGUUUGUUUAAAUUUAGUAGAAAACUUAUCCAAUGACGAGAAAAUUUGUUAAUCUUGAAUUUUUUCCCCCUGUGCUAUCUAAAAUAUAUUCUUUGCAUGCUUGUAGUGGUUGUGCAUAUGUACAAUCAUAUCAUGCAAAGAACCUGUGAUGAGCAGCUUGACAUCUUUUAUUUUUAUUUUGGUGUGGUAGAUCUUCCUUCGGUUCUAGCCAAGUAUGGCAGCUUGCGGCCAUAAUAAAGAAAAUAGUAUAUUGUUGUGAAUUCAAAUUCCUAAUGGUAUCAAUUUUCCUCUAGAGAUUGAAUUUCAAAAAUGCUUGUAAGAAAACAAAAAACCAGACUUGGUACAAACAAUAAAAAGAGUUGAGACAAUAUAAUGCACCUUCCAUUAGAAAAGGAAAACUGUAACAAAUUUUUUGCUGGACUCUGACCUUGAUAAAAUAUUGAUACAUCCCACUUGGGUUGUCCUGUGUCCAGUGCACCCUGAAGGUUAACAAGCAACGUACACAAGCACAUAUUAGUAUCCAAUGUAUAUGAUUAAAAUAUCCAACACCUAGAGGAAUUCAAUAAAUUGUAGUAAAAAAUCUGGAAAGGAAGGAGCAUACCCAUCAAGAGGAUUGACAACACCAGGGAAGUAGUCUCCAAAAGACAAUCUGUUGAUUGUGUGACUUAUCUGUGUCAUAUAACACAAAUUAAUUAGAUGUAGUCUUUGACAAAGAUGGGAUUUCAAAAAAACUUAACAAGAAAAUGUGAUGAUUCCAUAACAUCGUUUUGUAAUUUCAUUAUAUAUACAGAAAUAAAAAUUAAAAAAACAACAUAACGUCACGGAUCAUGUCUUACAUUAAAGCUAUCCUUUUGAAACGCCAGCAAAUCAUGUACAUGAACAUUUGAUUGUUGAAAGCUUUUCCCAGGUGCAAAAUGAAAGUUCCCAGCCACCUUAUUGACUUCCAAGAAUCCAUAUAUAUUGCAUCCUUCACCUUCUUCAUCUUUAAUCCUUUGCAUAAAUCCUUCUCUUUUGCACUGUCAUGCCACAAAAAGAAACAUAGAUAGUGUUAUACAUCAAAAAUAGCAAUUACUAUUUGUUUGGGGGGGGGGGGUAGGAAAAUACAUGUAUAGGAACCACCGAGACAUGUAAAAAGAAGACAGACUAAGAAUGAAAUAUUGCGGAAGGGGUGGAGUUAAAAUACAACUGGCAAGGCCCACUGUUUGCUUGUUGAAAAUCGAGAAAAAUCCAAGUAAUUUCUCCAUUGUAAUGAGACACAGAUAGAAUUCACACUAUCAAAUUUCAGAAUUAAUGGAAAUGAAACUUGAUACCACUAGAUUUGUCCGAUACUGUACACUACCCAUUUGUGGGUGCUUUCUCUGGCUACACUACAAACACUGUCCAUCAGUACUCAAAAGCUAGCCCAUCGAUAACUUUGCAAAAUAUAUUAGUAGCUAGAAGGGUCCGACUGCUAGGGAAAGCUAGCCUAAUAUAUUAGAUCCAGAGGCUUCAAUUUCAAAAUAUCCAGAGGCUUCAAUUUCAAAAUAUAUUAUAUUUUUGAUCUAAGUACCAUCUAAAGUCAAAAAUCAGAAAGAAAGGGAGAAAAAUGAAUAAGGUUUCAGAUGAAAGGUUUACAUGACAAGAAAUGAAGGAAUUGAGGCAAUAUAUCCAACCAAUUGUUCCGGAAAUGUUAGAAAUCAAUUACGACCGACCCAGAAAAAUAUAUCCCAUACAUAUAAUUUAUACACACAGGCAUGACAAUUUCAAAGCAAUAUAAAUCUCUUAUGGCAUUGCUAGUUUGCAUUCAAGCCUCAAGCUCACAAACCUGGUCAAUCAAAUCUGGAUUUGAAAUGGCCCAACCUUUCUUUCGGUAAGCUUCACGGACCUCUUCACAGUUAUUACAGCAGUCCUCAUCAUUCUGCAUUAAUUUGAAAUGGAAACAAAAAAUGUAAGAAACUCAUAGCUAAAUGGAAACUUUUUCGAGCAAGAUGAUCACGAAUGGACCAAAUUUUUGCUUAUAUUAGCAAAGCCUCUUGACAGCCCCAGCAUAAAAUUCAAAUGAAAACAUUUCCACAACUCGAAAUGCAUAAAGCCUAGGCAGAAAUGAAAUCCAAAGCUACAGAACAAUGCAGUUGGGAUGGAAAGAUAUGACAAGCUUAACUACUAAUCAAACACCAACGUACAAAGACAUGCCGAGUAACCCUUUCCUCUUUGAAGCAGGAUGUAAUCAAGUCAGAAUAGUUGACUAUACAAGCUACAUACAUAUACACAAACGCUGAAAAACAUGGAGAGAUAAUUGAAAGCUGUUUGUUUUGAGUUCUCUAUUAAUGUUAUGGAAUUGAAUUGGUAUAAUAUAUUAAAAACCCUCACUUAUUACAUAUAAUAAAUGGUCCAAGAUACUCUCUUAAAAGCUCCCACUUCCAACAGAACCCUAUUUUCACCCACUCAGGAAACUCACUCUUACCUUUGCAGCUCAACUUUCUCUUUCCCACCCCAAACACCCAAACUCCGUCCCAUAUUUUCUGGCUUAGUGUUAAAAGACAGGAUACGAUCGGAAAGUAUCUCUAGUCAUGUGACCAUGGCAAUACAUACACCCAAACUCCGUCCCAUUUUUUCUGGCUUACUGUUAAAAGAUUGGAUACAAUUGGAUAAUAAAAUAUCUCUAGUUCAUGUGACCAUGGCAAUACAUCAUAAUCAGGACUAUUACACAGAUAUACAGGAUGGAUUGCUGUCACCUAUCUAGUUCAGCAAUCGUCGAUAUACUAGAAUAAAGAUAUACAAAAAGCUUCCAUGACUAUAAUUAACCCAAAUGAAGCAUAAUCCAAACACACAUGCUUACCGCUUCAGCACCAUAACAGGAACCACAGUAUGUCUCGUUGUGCUCAAGUCUGCCACCAUGUCUCUGCAAAGGCUUGUCAAUCUGUCACAGGAAGAUAGAAUAAGUACAAUGAAAACAACAGAGUCAAAAAAGAAAAGCCUUUUUCGAUAAUGUCAAUCAGCAAACCAAAAGAUUAUAACUAUUCUCAAUACAUUUGUACUUGCAAAAUAUAGCAACUUUUGAUGUAUCUCAAUGUAUAUUAUGUAGUCUGAAAAUUGUACUUCAAAGCUCAAACAUACUAACCUUGGGAGCACCGAUUCCAUCCGGCCGUGAUUCUAUAACAUUUCCAUGGGAAUCUAUUCUUUUUUUAUAAUGUCAUGUUUCUGCAAGUUAGGUAAGAAACAAAUUUCUUAAACGAGUGAAACUUGAAUUUAACAAAAAUGUAGAAUAGCAUGAGCUGUGUAGAGACAAGAGAUCAAUAAGAAUUUCAUUGUUGCCAAGUAAUUUUCAAUACGUACUACAUCAAGGUGCUGCUCUCCACUGAUGUCCAUAGCAUCAAGACUGAGUAUAGAACAAGGAAGCGCAGCAAAAGUUACAUCGAACUGCACUUGUAAAAGUCGAAAAAUAUCGCAAUCAUUAGCUUAAGUGAACAAUCCUAAGGAAUCACAAUAUUAGCAAACUAAACAAACUCGAAGAUAUCAGAUAAACAACAUUACAUUGAUACGCAGGGUUUCUCCUCUCGAAGUAUCCACCACAAGCUUCGUUUCCGUCACCGCAUGUAGAUAUAAUUCUGCUCCCACGCCACAUAACUCAGAUUAUCAAUCAACAACUUUUCGAAACAAAGAAUACACAAUCGUCUCCGUAUCGAAAAAAUGCACUAGAAAUUCAAAAUUGACAAUACUCGACAAUUGAAAACCCUAGAAUCGAACAGAUCUUGAAUGAAAGCACAAAAUCAAAAACGUACGGAGCUCGGAGAGGAAGAGGAGGAGCAUAACGACGGAGGAGGCGAGGGUGAUGACGCCGCCGGAGAGGGUACGGCUGUAGAAAUCUUCGUUGAUUUUGGGAUAGGCGUCCAAAUUCCGGAGCUUGCUCAUCAUAUUCUCCAUGGUCUCUGCUAUACCCUAACAAUCGAGCUUGCGAUCUUGUUGUUCUCGAUCUAAGAAAACCUAAUGAAAUCUAAUUGAAAUUGAAAUUGAAAAUGAAAAUAAAACUAAGGGAUAGAGAGCCCCGUUGAAAUUGAAAGAGAAAGGGAGAGACCUACUGGGAUUUUAUUAUUGAGAGGGGAAAAUUUGACGAACGGGGCGUCUCAAGUUUUGGCCUUCCUUUUGGUUUGGUUUGGUGUGAGAGAGAAGCCUUGGUUUUUGUUUUUAUUUUUGGUUGAACAAACUUUCAAGGCCUACUUGUGUUUUUUUUUCAGAAAGAUUUAAUUCUGUCUUUUGACACUUUGUAUGUAUCGUUUAAUAUUUUCCUUUUUUGUCUUGCCGAAACCGUAGUCUAUAGCAAGAAUGUACAAAUUAGGGUGGAAAAACGGUUUUAGAUUGUCUGAUCUCAAUUUGUGUUGCAGUGUUCGGUGAACUUUUGGUAGUGUACAUAAACUAGUUAAUAACUUUUAAACGUGACUCGAACACGAUAUAAAAUUAACAUUUAACUAUAAAGAAAACAAACAUAUCAAAGAAAAAGUUUUAAUAAUGAUAUGUUUAUUAACCUCUUGGAAGGCUGGAAUGAAAUUAAGAGUGACGGAAUUGAUUCUUGGACGAGUGAAUUUCGGCAUUUACUAACAUGUCAAGGUAUUAGAAUGGAGGGUUCCACUUGCUUAUCAGACAUAAUUAUAAAAUUUCCAAAUUAUCCAAUCCUAAAUAAUUACAAACAUUAUAGCUUCCUUUCUUGUAGAGGUAUUUUAGUAAUCAAACUACUUUUAGUUCUGAUUCCAUAUAGUAACAACAUUUAUUGGUAUUAGUUUCAUUCAUGUUUUGAUUCAUUAUGAUAAGUGAACAGUAAAAUGAAAUGAAAUAAUCUCAUACCGAUUCUUGUUGAUACCGAUUCUUGAUAAUUUUCAUUAUAAGUUAGUAAACAUGUCCUAAGAGUUGUAAACUGGGUUAGAUAGAACAUACAAUUCAAAACAUCCACAGUAGUGCAAUACUGGUAUUUGAUGAAACAUUUGCAAAUUUGGGUUCUCGAGAUGUUCAACCUAGCUUACAAAGUAGUGUUGAUAAUCACAUGUCAGGACGUCUUCAUUCAAGAAAAACAAAUUUUCUCACAAGGUGAUUGGAACUUUGGAAGAAUGAAAUUCCCAUUGGGAGUAGUCUAGCUCUAUGUACGGCAUGAGAGCAAUUGCGUUCGUCUUGGCAUGAUGAGGCUGGGGGAACUUUGGAAGAUGCGAGUCAUCUUCAAACUCUAGUACCAAAUACUCAUCACGUUAAAUAUCAAAGGCCAAAGUUUUUUCAAACUAGUUUGCAAAUGCUUGUAGCGCUAAACUGUGCAUCUCAACUUUUGAUUCAAUUGGAUCGAAUUUAUCCUCUACAAGCUUUGCUAUUGCUUUCUGAAUUUCUUCUUCUCUUUAAGGGGCGCCGGCUUGGCUUCAUGCCACCAUUUUCAUCUCUUUUUUGUUUGAUAAGUUGAUUUUGAUUUUUAGCUUACAGAAAAAGAACCAUCAGUUUCAGUUGUAUUCUCCUGUCCAAAAUAGUAACCCAUAAGAAGGUAGCUGAACCGCUGAAAUCCAAAUCUUUUAGAAAAAUACCCUAACUAUUUCUCAUUCAGAAAAAAAAGAAAUAAACAAUCCAGAUAAAAAUUCCUAUGUUCUCAGUAAAAAGAAAAAAUCAAAAGGAAUCCUUCACUACAAUAAGUCUGGUUUUGCCCUCAGAUGGCUCAUCUAUCCUGACUCUUUUCAAAAAGCAAUGACUUCAAUAAAAGAAAGGAACUAGCUAGGAGAUCAAUGAAGUGCCAGCUGCAACUAGGAGAUCGCCUCUCUCAGUUUUGACAAGACCUGAUGAGAAUUGAUAGUAGUAUUCAUAUCAUCAUACCAAACACGUACAGUAGUAUAGCUAGGAACUAAACUUCAAUUUCAACUUAAGAAGUUAGGCCUCCAGUUUGAAGAACUAGACAACAUAAGCAUCAAUACUUGAAAUUACAUAAGCUAAAAAACAAAUAGAAGACUAAAUCUUGCAAGCAAAACAAUGCAUUGUCAUGACUUGAAGAAAAAUCUUGGUCUUUUUCUGUCAAAAAAUGAAUAAUGAUUGGCAUUAUCUAUCAGGUUAUUGGCCCCCAGGUUUCUGAAUUUGCAACCCCAGAUACCUAUAUUUACUUGCAUGAUUAGUCUAACUGAAAAUUUACAGAAGCCACAAAGCAAACAUUUUUUUUUGAAAACUUUUUAUUAAAUAACUCACACACCCUACAUAUGUCAAUGAGGUUUGAUCCCAUGACGUCAAAGUUGUUAGUUAACCACCUUAACUAACCACGCCACGGCUCACCGACAGCCACAAAGCAAACAUGAUAUUGUCAUGCAAUCAAUAGUUUCAUUUGACUUGGUUCAUUGCUUCACAAAAGACUUCAUCUUUUGUGCAAUGAUGAGAAUCUUCAGAAGGAAUUCUUGAAUGAAAUAAGGGCGCUAACUGAGAUUCGACACCGAAACAUUGUGAAGCUCUAUGGUUUCUGUUCACAUAAGCAAAACUCUUUUUUGGUGUAUGAGUAUCUAGAAAGAGAUAGCUUGGCCAGUAUGUUGAGCAAAGAUGAUAAAGCUCCUUGGAGUGGAGUAAAAGAGUGAAUAUUGUGAAAGGUGUGGCUCAUGCAUUGUGUUACAUGCACCACAAUUGCUUGCCACCAAUUGUCCUUCGUGACAUAUCGAGCAAGAACAUACUGCUCGACUCUGAAUAUGAGGCCUCUGUUUCAGACUUCGGCACAGCCAAGUUCUUAAUCCCAGACUCAGUUAAUUGGACUGCCAUUGCAGGCACACAUGGAUAUGUGGCACCAGGUAAGCUUGUUGUUCUAUAUUCUUAUAGUUUUACACCUUCUUAUGCUUUCUUUUUAGGCAUAUCCUUGCAUACUCAAUGAAAUGAAUCUUUUAUGUAAUUUUUCUUUUUACAUCAUUCUGUUUUAAAACCCUACUCUUUUUCCUUCGUUUAGUACGUGUGUGUUAUAGUCAAUAAAUUUCCCUUCAUUACGAGUUUUUAUCUGAGCAUGCAGAGCUUGCUUACACGAUGGAAGUGAAAGAGAAAUGAGAUAUUUAUAGCUUUGGAGUGGUGACACUGGAAAUGGUCAUGGGAAGGCAGUUCUCUCAUCUUUAUCCUCGUCAUCUAUCUCAUCAUCAGCUGCAUUACCAUCCCAUCAAAUGCCAGUUGAGGACAUUUUGGAUCAGCGUAUUUCCUCUCCUACACAGGGAGUUGCAGGAGAAGUUGUCUCUCUUGUGAAGGUAGCAUUUGCAUGCUUGAAUUCCAGUCCUCAAUCUCGUCCAACAAUGAAGCAAGUUUCUGAACACAUCUCAACUUGAAGACUGCAUUUAUCAGAUCCACUUGCUAUGAUAACAUGUGGUGAAUUGCUUGCUUCUAAUGGUUUGACUACCUGAAGGAUUGUGAAUCAAGAAUGUGCUUCUGUCUUGUGUGUAAUUCCGUCCAUGGUGUGAACAUCUUUUCUUUAGUGGAAAGAAAGAUAUUAAACAAUUAUUUUCUUAAUGUAUUUUUACAUUAUAUACUGGUGUGAGGGCUCAGUUAUAAUAAAAAUGCAAGGAUUUUCCUUCUGUAUAUGAUCUGCUAGUUUGCAAGUAUAAUCUGUGUGUUCUGUUUUAGAUAGACGAACUUUGGUUUACAGGAAUUGGGACUCUUGCAGCUUAUAGUAGAUGUUAAGUUCCUUGACAGAAUCUGUUAUCUUGUAGUCCCUCAGUUCGGAUUCUAUGUCUCAAAAUUUUACUAAUGUAAAUAGUUGUUUCAAAAUUAAAAGAUGAAUGAGGAUGUAAAUAACUGUACUAAAUUGAUACGAUAACAAUAAAGUAACAGAAAUAAUUAAGGGGAAUUUUCAUAUACACCCAAUUUUGAAGAGUGGUUUUAAAUAAAACCCACCUAAUAUUCCUAUCUGAUAGACAUUUAAAAUGUAUCAACUAUGAUAAAUAUUAUGUCAUAUUUUUUCUAAAUUUUACACAAUUGCCACCAUUCAACUAUAACAUAUUAAUAUAAUAAAUAAGCUUAAUUGAUGUUGUCUUAAAUACCUUGAUUAUGAGUUUUUCUUCUAACACUAACAUUUUUCAAUCAAUUUGCAAGAAUCAUGUAGUUUUCUUUAUUUUUAUGAAAAAAUCUAGAUUAAAGGAAUUCAUUAUCUAAUCUAUACAUAAGAUAAAAUAUAAUAUGAAUAAGAUAUUUGAUCUAAACCUUAAACCCUGUACCCUAUACCCUAAACCCUAAACCCUAAACCCUAUACCCUGAACCUUUACCCUAACUCUAUACCCUAACCCUAUACCAUAACCCUAUACCCUAAACCCAAUUUUGGGUUUCUUCUUUUUAGGUAUAUUAUUAUAUUAUGUCCUACUUAAUAGGUAUAUUAGAAACGUAAGUAGUAGAGAGUAAAAUAUUCUCUCAAUUAGGAUGAGAAAUGAUAUAAUAAUAUACCUAAAAAGAAGAAAAUUAAUCAAAGAACAAGAACGUGUACCUUACAAUUAGACAUUUUUAUACUAUAUAGAGAGACACCAAAUGUGAGCUUAGGAAUGAAAAGUAUAAUAUCCUAAUACAAAUGACAUAGCAUAUAUAUAUAUAUAUAUAUAUAUAUAUAAACUCAAGUUAGUAAUAACAAGGUAAGAAAUUAAAGAAUGUAAUUGAUUAUGACAAAGUUAAAUCCAACUAAAUUUUAGCUAGUAUUUGAGUUUCAAAUUGAUGCUAAAAUUGAGAAAUAUACUAAAUUUAGCUUUCUACUAUCUGAAGGGCAAAUUAGAGAAACCGAAAAAUGAAUAAAACUAUUAAUUAUAGAGAUUUGCUCUAUAUGGUAUGUUUGCUUAUGUGGAGUAGGUGUAAAAUAAAAGAAAAAUAUGUAUGGAUUUAUCUUAAAAGUGGUCUAGUAUUUUGAGUUUUUAUCUAAUUUUCUCAAUAAUUAAAUUAGAGAAGGAUUGGAAAAGCGAACCUCAGUUGCAAUUCAAUGGAGUAGCAUUUCUCAAAGAGGCUAGGAGGCAAGUUUGAACCAUCAAUUACAUUUGAGCAACACAUUUAAACAACUGCCAAGGAACUAAAUGAAUGAGAAACUAGAACAGUGUUGCAUGUUCUUCGUCACUUUGAAGGAUGAGGCGUUAAAACCUUCAAAAUAUCAGUAUUUUGAGAAAAAAAAAAAUUCUGUAACAAAGCAGGUGACUUUAAUUACAAGAUCAACAACGAACGACAUCCAAAGAACAAUCAAGAGUCAAAACAGUUGAUAGUGUGCACUUCCCUCUCAUGAUCACUAUUAUGACCGGAGAAAAAUAUUUAAAUACUAGAAGUCUAGAAAGAAGGAGCCAUCUCAGCUCACUUCCAUGUAUCAUUUUCAAUUCAAUAAAUGAAAUGAGAAAAACUAGAAAUUUAAUCUGACUUUGGAGAUAAAAGACACAAACUUCUAUUCCGAAGUCUUCUGCAAACUAUCUUACAGUUAAGAGAGAAAACUGAAAGACACAGACAUUGGAAUGACUUUCUAAGUCUGAACAGCAGCUUCUAAUUAGUGCAGUAGCUGGUAUAAGUUCAAUGUUCUACACUCAAACAAAAUUCAUGAGAUCUUUUAAACAAGAAAGAAAAAGAACACCAUGAGAUUUUCAUCUUGUUAUGAUAAAGUAUGUCUCAUAGCAUAUUGCCUGAUACUGUAUCUUCAUCUCGUUCAAUCACCCAACCAUGUAGCUUUUGCUUCCAGAGAAGCAGAGGCACUUCUCAAAUGGAAAGCCAGCCUUAUGAACCAACCCGUGAACAAUCUCAUCUCUUGGAGUUACCUUCCCAGCAAUAACAAGGCAAAUGCAAGUUCAUGCUUUUGGGCCGGUAUUUCAUGCAACACUGGUGGAAGUGUCAGCAGGAUAAACCUUACCAGUUCUGGUAUACAAGGUACGCUACGAGAGUUUUCAUUCUUGUCCUUCCCUAAUCUCGAAUAUCUUGACUUGAGCAUGAAUAAACUCUUUGAUGCCAUCCCACCUCAAAUCAGUUUCCUCUCCAAACUCGUCUAUCUUGAUCUUUCUAAUAACCAACUAAACAGUUCAAUCCCAACAUCUCUAGGUAAUAUGACAAACCUUACCAACCUCUAUCUCGGUGUAAAUGAACUUACCGGAACUAUUCCUACAUAUAUAGGGAACCUAAAAUCUCUUUUGGCUCUAGGAUUGAGUGAUAAUCAACUCAAUGGUUCAAUUCCAAAAAUACUAGGCAAUCUGACAAGCCUUACAAAUCUCUAUCUUGGAGUGAACAAACUUUCUAGCACUAUCCCUUCUGAACUAGGAAACCUGAAGUCUCUUGUGGAAUUAGGCCUGCCAAAUAACAAUCUUUCAGGUUCAAUCCCCACUUCCUUGGGAAACCUGAGCAAUUUGGAAUUCUUAAGCCUUUCUGCCAACCACCUUUCCGGCUCAAUCUCCCAAGAAUUAGGAAAUCUGACAAAAUUGACUAACUUGCAAUUGGGUGAUAAUCAAUUUGUUGGUUAUCUGCCCCAAAACCUGUGCGAAGGUGGACCACUCACAUUCGUUUCUAUCAGAGACAACUAUUUUAUUGGCCGAAUCCCCAAAAGCUUGAAAGCAUGCAAGAGCUUAAGAAGAUUCAAUCUUGAUGGGAACCAAUUGACAGGCAAUAUUUCUCAAGACUUGGGCGUGUUUCCAAAUCUUGUUUAUAUAGAUUUCAGUCACAACAAGUUCUACGGUGAAAUCUCGCAUAACUGGGGACAAUGCCUGCAGUUAACAACACUACUAAUGGCGGGAAACAGCCUAACCGGUAGUAUACCUUCUGAGGUCGGAAAUGCAACCCAAAUUCAAGAACUGGAUUUUUCUUCAAAUCGUUUAGUUGGGACAAUUCCAGAGGCCAUUGGGAGAUUGACAUUUUUGCUGAAGCUGAUGUUGAAUGACAACCAACUAUCAGGUAGUAUACCAUUAGAAUUAGGAUCCUUUGCAAGUCUAGAAUACCUUGAUCUGUCUUCUAACAAACUAAAUGAAUCAGUUCCAAGCAUUGUAGGAAACUUUCUCAAAUUAACCUACUUGAAUUUGAGCAACAAUGAGUUCGGACAAGGAAUCCCAUUCCAGUUGGGGAAAUUAGAGCAUGUGUCCCAGCUAGAUUUAAGCCAUAAUUCACUUAAAGGUAAGAUACCGUCAGAAAUGAGCAGUAUGGAGAGUUUGGAGAUCCUCAGCCUUUCCCACAACAAUCUUUCUGGUCUCAUUCCAACAAGUUUUGGAGGCAUGCGCGGAUUAUCCUAUGUUGACAUAUCUUACAAUGACUUGGAAGGUCCUCUUCCCAACAACAAAGCAUUUGAAAAUGCUCCGCGAGAGGCAUUACAAGGGAAUAAAGGAUUGUGUGGCAAUGUUCCGGUUUUGCAACCCUGCAAUAAAAGUAGCUCAAAGAAGGACCACGGAUUGAUAUUUCUAACUACCAUCCCAUUUCUAGGAGCACUUGCACUUCUAUUUGUUAUCUUUGUAUUUGCUUUUCUAGCAAAAAGAAAAAAGCAGGAUCAACGUAUGGAACAAAACAACAAGCAUGACGAGAUUUCUCUUUCAGUAUUAAAUUUUGAUGGCAAGUUGAUGCAUGAGGAAAUCAUAAAGGCAACAGAAGAUUUUGAUCCCAUGUAUUGUAUUGGGAAGGGAGGACAUGGAAGCGUCUACAUAGCAAAUUUGUCAUCUGCUAACAGAGUGGUGGCUGUGAAGAAACUUCAUCCGCUAUGCAGUAAUGAGAAAAGUCAUUAGAAGGAAUUCUUGAAUGAAAUAAGGGCACUAACUGAUAUACAACACCGAAACAUUGUCAAGCUUCUAGGUUUUUGUUCGCAUCAACGACACUCAUUUUUGGUGUACGAAUAUCUAGAAAGAGGUAGCUUGGCCACCCUGCUGAGCAAAGAUGAUGAAGUGAAGGAACUGGGGUGGGGUAAAAGGGUGAAAAUUGUGAAAGGUGUAGUUCAUGCCUUGUCUUAUAUGCACCAUGACUGCUUGCCACCAAUUGUGCAUCGUGACAUAUCAAGCAAGAACAUAUUGCUCGACUCUGAAUACGAGGCUUGUGUCUCAGACUUCGGCACUGCAAAGUACUUAAACCCAGACUCGGCUAAUUGGACUGCCCUUGCAGGCACAUAUGGCUAUGUGGCACCAGGUAAUAUUAAUCUCUAUCUGUCUUUUAUACUGAUAAACCAAUCAGAAAAUUGAACAUGUACAAUUGUAAUUAAAUAUCUAUUACUAAGAAGAUAUCAAGUGAGGUUAAUGUGUAGAAGAAAGAUUCUUAUACUAAAGAAGACUAAAAUCUGUCUAUAGACUUAUGAGUUACAAUAAGAUAAUGCAUAAAAAAAACUUCGUGCAUUGGACGAUACUAACUGAAAUAUCAAAUUAAAUAGUUUAGAAGCUUGUGGAUACGUAGGCAACUCAGUUGGUUUUAUACUUUUAUUGUGUGUUCAAGAAGGUUGUUUUACCCCCAAAAUGUUCUGAACAUUUAAGUUAAUGAUUUGGUUAGGUUUAUGGCUUAUGUCAGUUAUGUGUAAGCUUUCAUUCAAUAGUUCUAUCUAUGUACUAGUCCUGGCCUUCCUAAGAGUUUAAAUUUGGAGAGCAGAGCUUGCUUACACUAUGGAAGUGAACGAAAAAUGCGAUGUUUAUAGCUUUGGGGUGGUGACAUUGGAAAUAGUCAUGGGAAGGCAUCCAGGAAAUUUUCUCUCAUCUUUAUCAUCGUCAUCAGCUGCAUUACCGGCCCAUCAAAUGCCAACUCUGGAUGUUUUGGACCAACGCAUUUCCCCUCCCACACAUGAAGAGGCAGUGGAGGUGCUGUCUAUUGUGAAGACAGCAUUAGCAUGCUUAAAUUCCAGUCCACAAUCUCGUCCAACAAUGAAGCAAGUUUCUCAACACCUCUCAACUCGAAGAUUGAAUUUGUCAAACCCUAUAGCUAUGAUAAAAUGUGGGGAAUUUCUUGCUCUUCAACGUCUGGCUAUUUGAUGAAUUUUGAAUCAAGAAUGUGCUUCUAUCUUAUACCUAUUUCCCUAUUUUGAAUUGCUUGCUCUCAUUGCCAUACUUCCUGAGAGGCUGGGAGUAUGGAAUGGGUUACUUCAGCAAUAAGACCUAUUUAUCAAAUGUUUACUUACUGUAAUAAGACAUGCAAUUAUGCAAGGAUAUACUUUGUUAAUUGAUGGUCUGAUGUUUACAAAUUACAAUUUAUGUGUUAUGUUCUGUUUUAGGGCCAUCACACUUCUAUGUUGGAAAUGGGAGAUAUGUUUUGAACAUUAAUCUGAUGAAAAAACCGUACCAAAUCACUUUUAUGAGCUUUUUUGAGCAGAUUUGGCUAUGAUGAAAUAAUAGUACUAAUCUCGCCACGUACAUCCAAGAUAAAGACCAUAUAUGCAUGCCAAACUAGCUAGUAUGCACCAAUAAAAGAAGACGAAAAAAGGGGCAAAACUGGACUGAAAUGAAGAGUAGCCAAAUUCCAUCAAGAGUUCAAUGAAAUUAAACAGCCAGACGAGAAUUUGAUGAUCAUGUCUAAUACAUAUCUACAUACCUCAGACUCAUCUUUCCUUUAUGUAUUUUGUUCUAGACAUAACAGAGUCAUAUAUAUGUGAAAUUUGGAUUUAUCUCUACAUUUGAAAGAUGAAGAUAUUGCUUUGCACAAAUUGUUCAUUAAAGGAAAACCAAGGUAGAAUCAAGGGCUUAAGGCCAUGCAUGGCAAUUUCUCAUUUUCUUCUAAAACUUAGGCUUCUCACUUCUCACUUUCUCAUUUAUCAUUUAUCUCUACAUUUGAAAGAUGAAGAUAUUGCUUCACUGAUCUCAGGCUUCUCACUUCUCAGCAUCUCUUCUCUUCUCUCAUUCUCUCUUCCUCUCACUGUCAGUGUCUCACAUCGACUCGCGGCCUCCAAGCCCUCCAGUCCUCCACCGUUUACCUCCGUUAAGCCCUCCGUGAGUCCUCUUUCUCACUUUAAUAGAUCUGCUUCUCCUUACUCAAGAGUCAAGAGUCAAGCUGGAAGUGUUUGAUUGGGUUUUUAGGCUGUAUUGAAUUGUUGUUAGUUGUUACUGUUAUUAUAAUUGUUUGGAAUUUGAUGUGUAUGAAUACAAUUUGUUGAAAUUUAGAGUGUUGAAUCGAGUUAGGGACUUAGGGAUACGAUUUCUAAGUUUUCUGUUGAUUGAUUUUGGAGGCUAAGCAUCAUAGAUGCAGGGAAUUAUGGUUUAAGGUUGUGUGAAUAAACUUAGAAGCAAAAUGGGAGAUGAGUAUCUUGGUGAUUGUAUGGUCUUUCACAUUGAGAAAGAGUAUGUUGAAUCUGUUACUAAUGAGGAGGUGGUUAAAGAGUUUGAAGUUUCAUCAACUCGUAGAGUUAGAUUUAGUUAGUUUAUGUUACAAUAUUGUAUUACAUUGCACGUUUAUUUUAAUAAUUUAGUUUCUACUGUAAUUUUGCAUAUAUAUUGGAGGGGUAAAGGCUCAUUAUGUCCCCCGGCUAGGUGUAUCAUUUUCUUUCAAUUAAUAAAUUACUUUCGCACCGUCGAGAUUCUCUAUUUUUUUUUUNNNNNNNNNNNNNNNNNNNNNNNNNNNNNNNNNNNNNNNNNNNNNNNNNNNNNNNNNNNNNNNNNNNNNAAUGGGAACAGUCUGGACCCUAGACUGUAGUUUUUUUUUUUUUUCUAAUAUGGAUCAGAACGGAAUGCUUAUAGACCCAAAAUAAUCAUAUAGACUUUAGUUUAUGUUUAUGGGUUGGGCUCUCAAAAUCUCAAACACAUGCAAAUCAUAAAGGCUAUUUUCACAAUUAUCAAAUGAGUCAAAUCUGCUUCAACUAAGCCCUUUUGAGCUCUCUGUUUGUGGAGAUUAGGGAUUUGGGGAGUUCAUCUGUCCUUCUUAACCGACUAUGAGCGAUGAGUGAAUCUAAAGCCGGAAUAACAAAUUCACUUGUGAUUGAGACGCAUUUGUCUAUUACAAUCCCUUACAACUGUCUACAAGGUGAGCAAGCUUUAAUUAAAACCUUAUAAAGGACUCUUCUCUGUGCCACCGUAAACAGUUUAUUACGAAAGACUAAAUUGAGAGUUCCUACUUGUACGACUUGUAUGCUAUGACAUCUAAUUAAAUCGAUCACUCAUUGAUCCAUCUUAUUUUCACAAGGUACGUGAAACUCUGGCUACUGUGCCAACUUUUACUGAUCUACUGAUUUUCGUUCUCUCCGGAAUGCACAUAUCUAAUCAAAACAUGAACAAGGUUUUUAGACUAAAUGAAAUUGCAAUUCUCCUUUACUAUGUGCGAUAUGAAAUUUUUGUUUGGAGAAAUGAAGUUAGAAAAGACUAUAAACAAAAGGCUUCGAUUGUACAAUGAUUGAUUGUACUGUCAAUUACUUUUUUUCCCCAACUUUUAGUUCCUGGCUAGCUUGGAUGUGAAUCAUUUUGACUCGGACCUUUAUGAACAGAAGUUCCAAAACUCCCACUGACCAGAUUUAUUUAAAUGAAAUAUACAAUAAAAGAGGGAUUAUAAUCAUGCCAAAUAUCUUCUGGAUCUUUUCAUAUUAACCUCAAUCGUAAAGUCAUGGAUGGAGGUAAUGAAGCACGCAUAAGAUAAUUAGGGAUGAAAGUGGAUUCGGAAAUGCAAGAAGAUAAUGACAUUUGUAGCAAAAUAUGGCAACCGCUAGUUAACUAUAAACAAGAAAGAGAUACAAGUGAUUAACAAACAUUAUUAUAACUUUUGAGAAAUAAUAUCCCACAACGCAAAAAACAAAUAAAUAAGGACAACUGAGGCCUUAUCAUAGGAGGGUAAUGGAUUUAAGAUGUAACAUCUAUGUAAAUGCUGCGUUGCAAUCGAUCAAUUCUACAUUGGAACAUCGUUGUUAGCUAGUGCUUACAGCACUAAGAAAAAGAAUGAAGGGUUUAUAAAGGCACUUUGAGAUCUUUGCAAGGGGAUCGAAUUGAGGUGUUAUCUUUAGCCUAACUUCAAUAAUUUUAUGGUCAUGAUUUUGUCUUAGGAUGUUUCCUUUGUUCGUUGAAGUACACACUUAGAUUGAUUUUUCCACAAUAAUUAAUUAUUAAAGAAUAAACCGGCCGGGGAGACGCUUAGCUAUCAUUGAUCAUUAAGCUAUUCAAGUUCAACCCCCUCAUGAUCAUUAGCAUCAAGUGGGAAAUCUUUUCUAUCUUCAUUCCCGAUAAGUUCUUAGGUACCUUAUUAAGAAGAAGAUAAUUCAUCAACAACAAAAUGAGAGUCGGAAAGAUGGUUAUGAAUUACGGGAGAACAGCCUCUUGCACUUCUCUGGUCGCCUCGAUUUUUGCCGAAGUGUAAAAAUGAUCGUCUUUGAUGGAAUCGUUCUCAAUUUUUUUUUUUUUCAUGCAACUUUGGUUUUUAUUUUAUUUUAUUUUUUUUAAAGGAUUUGGAACCCAGAUGUAGGUAGUCAUUGUUUCGUAGCAUGUUAUUCACGCAUUGUAAUUAAUUAGUGGAAAUACUUUAACCGUAAUGACGAAAAGUAUAUAUAGGCAGCAUAGAAGGACCUAGACAGAGACACAAAAUCAACCUAUUUAUGGGCAUGCAGCUCCACGAAAUACAUAAAAAAAUAUAUCAAAAUAUCACAACAGAAACAACACUAAGUUUUUUUGAUCCAACUAUCUUUGCUAGUUGAUUAACUAAUUAGUUCUUAAUGCCCUACUUUACAAAAUAUUAAACUCCAUAGAAAUCUAGAAAAGAGAGGGGAGUGGAUUACCCAGAUUUUUACUUGAUCGAUCGAUCGAUCAUCCAAUCCAACCAAGGUGGUUUCUACUGCUCGGUGGGGAACACUGGUUUCUCUAUAAUUACACAGAAUUAGGGUUUCAGUGGGCUUCAGUGGGUGGGUUUGGCACUAGGCGAUCAGGAUUUGUGGGCCCCGGAUGAAUCAUUGCCAGGCCAAUAAAGCUCCACAUGUCACAUCACAGAAAAGGAAUCGGGCCCCACUUGUUAUCAUGCAGCGUCUGGUUUUUUUUCUUCCUAGCGGGAACCCUAGAAACCCCGUAGAGAAAGCCAUGACAUUUCGUUACUGUGUCGGUUUUUGCAGUUGGCCUCAUUACCAGUUAUAACCGCUGCUGUUUAGAUUGCCGACCCUCCCGCUCUCCUUUCUAUUUUCGGCUAACUGGUUCUGUUACUACUUCUGUAAUAUUCCUGAGGGCUGGUGGUGAAAGCUUUGUUCGUAGUGCCAACAGCUAGCAGCAUUCCAUCAAUCUUUUACUUCAAAACGUUGAUCACACAAGAGAGAGAUGCCAGCGGACGACGACGAUUAAGAUGUGGUCCGAGUAUAGUACAGGGGUGGAUGGUAAUGUGGUUUUUGGCUUGAUGAGAAGGUUGUGACAAGAUAUAUACAGAUCACGGAAAUCUAGCUUUCAUUCGUCAGUAGCCUUCUGAUCAAUGAGAUGAACACACUCAGCAGUUCAUCCAUUACUGAAAGUUUUUUGUUAAUUAAGAGACAUUUGACCUCGAUGUAAGAAAGGAACGAAACAGGAUACCCUGAAACAGCUACAAGCGUAUACUGGAAUGCUUCAAGAAUGGGAGAAUUCUAUUUCAGCAUACUUUACCAACAGAUUUCUUAGCAGUCAGCACCAAGAACUCCUCUAGACACAACUCAUUUCAAACGACUACUGCAAACUCACUAAUCUAAUCAAAUCUCUAACUAACAAAACUUCAUUGCUCCGUACGUAGAAAAAGAAAAAAAUUAAUCAGCAAUUCCCCCACUCAACCCAUAAUUGGCAAGGCACCAGAUGGUGCCAUUGGGUCCAAGACACCAGAUGGGGCAGUGGAAAAAAGUAUACAAGUAACAACGACUUCUAAAGUUCUAAUCCCCACCCAAGCUAACUCGAUCGAUCGGUAGCCUUGAUGAUAGACUGCCAUAACCUCUGCUACUGCCGAACUAGCAAUAUUAAAACUAGAACAAAACGCAUCAAGAACUCCAUCUUUAAAAUCAAGAAAUACGAGGAGGAUGUUAAGCACGAACUUAUUGACUUUUAGCCAACCAAUUAUAUGGGGAUGUCAAUUAGUUUCCAAAAUAUGCAUGGAGCUUAAUUUACGACGCUAGCUUGCAAGAUGGAACUACUUUUCAAAUUGGAGAUGUAAGUUUUCAUUUGAAAUGUGCAAUCGGUUCUCUUAUCUAUAUAUGUAAGAUCACUUUCGUAUGUCCACAUUUCGUAUAGUACGUUUUUUUCAUUACGUACAUCUGCAAAGUUUUUGAUUGAACGCCGGUUUCGGUCACGUCAGGUACUACCUCUCAGGUAGGUUUAAUUUGAUUUCAUUUGUCGUAGGUUUAAAUAUGCAUAUUUAUAUUGGGUCCGGUUUAGGAGACGUAAUUUUUUACACAAAUUUUAAAAUGCUCGACGGUUCAGAUUUAUUGUCUAAAUGGUGUCAUCACAACACCAAGUGAUAUGAAAAUUACAUGGCAUUACAUAUCAGUAAAAUUGUCUUGUUGGAUGCUAACAUCGAUCCUUGCAAAACCUAACCCUAACGAGAGAUCGAGAAAGAGAGAUCAUUUAUCGGCUUGAUUAGUACUACUGAUUUCAGUAAAUAACGAGUCCACGAUUUGUUUGAUCAGCUUUCGAUGUAUUUAGCUUUCUUAGGCCAUAAGAAAAGUACCUAGUCGAACAAGAUCGAAGAUGAGUACUCUAAUCUCUGGUCCACUGGGAUAUUGUCUUCAAGUCAUCACCGGCCUAAUAAGAAGUUCACCACGACUUUACCUUCAAAGAUACCACAACAAACAUAUAUCUCCACGCAUAAUCAUUUUCAAUAACAGAAUCUUUGACCCCCAAUUAUUUUUAUCGAAAGAAUAUUUGACCCUUCAAUCAAAAAAAAAAAAAGUCUUAUUAUCAUUUGAGAUUUCAAUUUAACCAAAAAGUUAGAAGAGCUCCAUGUGAAAGUUUCUUGUCAAACAAAUACAGGUGCUUUUUUAUGUGCGAUGUGGUCCAAUUUUGAGCGAUCCGAUUGAUCGACAUGUAAAAUUCGAGUGCCUCAAUUAUUAUUUUUUUCCCGAUUGUGUUACCUUUUUUGAAGUGGAUGACUUUUUGGUACAUUUUUGUUCUUUUUAGAAAAUUAAUACACCAAAUUACAAUAUACCAUUCCACCAAACACAUGCUCUGCUACAAGCAAAUUAAGUAGUCACUACUAAUGCAACACUAUAACUAGUUUAUGAUGACCAUGCUAAUUGUUGCUUUUGUUUGAGUUUUAUGGCCCGAUACAAGUGAAAGAUGUGUAAUGAAAAAGUCUCACCGAAAAAACAGACAUAAUAACAUAAGAAAUUAAUAUAAUACCGAGCUAAACGAUUCACACUUGUUGCUAAUGUGGGAUACCUACGGCUUUAUAUAUAUGAGUAUGACGUUUUUGUAGUUCAACUUGUUGCUAUCGCGCGCAGCUUGAAUUCCUAGUAGACCGAGAGUAUUUGCUUAGGAGAAAGAAGUAGCAACUUUUUUUUAUUUUUUUUUAUCAAAUAUUAUAACUACGUGAGUCAAACUCUUAAUUUCUCACUUACUAGGGGAGACUAUGUUGCUAAAUGAAAUGGUAUUGGGCAAAAAAAUAGUAAUUUUUAUUUGAUUAUAUUCUCCCUAUAUAUCAAAGUAACAUAAGAUCAUGCAUGUGUAGAUGACUCUGAAAAGGAAAUGACUUGGACAAGUGGCUAAGUGACCAAGGGGCGUGGUGCGGGGGAAUACUUGUGGAAGCUUCUAUUUUCUCGUUUUCUUUGGCAAAGCGUGGAAGUUUCUUUCAUCGCUUUAAAUGAAUCCUUGAGAAAGAUGGCAAUAUUUCGACGGACGUAGGUAGUAGAAAUCAAACAAUAAAUUUUAUAUGUUAAAGAGCAAAGUGAAAAUGAUUCUAACGUACAUAUAUUCCCAGUGGCAAUAGGGACUUAAUCCAGGUGAGUAUAGGUGUAAUUGGAAUAAUAAUCUACUUUUAUGAUUAGCAUUUUGCAUCUUCUUUCAUUCUAUAAAAAUGAUGAUGUUCCUGUAUUCAUAAUCGCAUAAUAAUAUGCACGUUUAGGUUAAUUGAUAGCAAAGUUUUGUACUUCCAGAUAUGGAUGCUAAAGCUAGUUUAUGGUUUUAGUCAAAACGUUCAAUAUGAAAUAAUUUUUUUCGUGCUUACAAAAUUACGUUCAAACCAAACCUAGGUUAGUAAGUUUAUGUCGACAAAUAAUACCUGUAUAGCCAUGGAAUGGAUCUACAUUGUUUUCCAGAACCGACAAUAUAACCAAAUGAUCAUGCUAAAACGCCCGCUAGCUAUAGAUCUAGCUUCUCACUUUUUAACAAAAUUGGUUAAUGAACAAAUUAAUCAUUCAAGGCUAGGCCGGAGCGGUCAUUUUCUCUGAUUAUCACAAAAACCCUCUAAGCAAUUUGGCAUAUAUUCUCUCAAGAUCGAUACAAUCAAUCGAUGAAAUCGACAUAUUUUAUGUAAGAGAAGACUGAUUAUUCUCAAUGCAUUAUAAGAAAGUUUUGCAGAGAUAUACAAGGUGAAUAAUGCUGCGAUAGUUUGCUUGCUUGAUGCUUGGUUAUAGUUUCCUAGCUACGAUCAUUUCCUUUGUAUUACUGAGCUUCCUUGGGGAAUCAGAAAACAAAUGAAAGCAGGAGAUCGAACAUUAGCUAGACAAAAAGAGAAGUGAUUACUUGUUGCCAAAAAUGAGAGAGGUUGCUUAACCAAAAAGUUAUUCCCCGAUUCUUCAAUCAAGGGCCUAAUUACAUGUCUUUUAAUCGUCCUUAUAUAUGAUGCCUGCCUAACUCUGAUCUACUUUUUUUGACAAUCUUCGGCUACCUGAAUAUUUUGAUAUACUUGUCCAUCACGUUCGGCUUCAAACUUCAAAGCAUCUAUUUGCCACCGACUUUGACUAAUGCCUCUUACGAACAAAUGGCCAUGGAAACUAAUUCUCAGAAGGAAUCAGAAAGACCUAGCAGCUGAGCUAUAGCAAUAUUUUUAUAUCAGAUAGAUCCUAAAGAUUUAUAUAUCGCUUAAGAAUAGGAAGGUUCAAGCAUUUGAGUGAUUCUACGUACGUGUUCAAUUGAUGAAGUAGUCUGGGGUGUACGUGUUCAAUUGAUGUAGUUGAUAAAGUAGUCUGGGGUUCACAUCUAAAACCAAUUGGCAAUGGAUGGAGAUGCCCAAACCCUUAUUAACCCACAAGCAAGGUUCCAUAUUCCCGAUGUGGGAUUGAUAUUUCAACACACGCCCCCGCACAUGUGGAGAAUUUUCAAGCCUAACACGUGGACAACAUUUUGGGUGACGUGGAGUGCGUGUGGCCUUUAGGCUUCACACGUGAACGUAGGUAACCCGCUCUGAUACCAUGAUAAAGUAGUCUGGGGUUCACAUCUAAAAUCAAUUGGCAAUGGAUGGAGAGACCCAAACCUUUAUUAACCCACAUGCAAUGUCUCAUAUUCCCGAUGUGGGAUUGAUAUCUCAACAGUAGUAGUCUACGGUUCACAUCUAAAACCAAUUAACAAAUGAUGAAUUGGCCAAACCAUUAUAAACUCAUAGAGAAUGUCUCAUUUUUCCUGACGUGAGAUUUAUAUCUCAUAAGACAAUACCAUCCGUGCGGCUUUAAUUAGAUGAUGUUAAGUAUCCGCAUCUGCCCUCGAUCAAUCAAACUUGUGUGAGCUAUAAACAUACUUAAAAUCGCAAGUGUUCCGCAAGGUUGUAAAAGAAAACUGGAUCAUAGAAGUGCCGCAAAGGUGAGAUUACGUAAUAGAGUGCAGCUGACUCAAAAUAUGUCGAUCUCUGUAUUUUAGUGUCGACUCCAUUUGGGGUCAGGUUGGCUUUUCUCUUUUGUCAAAGGACGUCAGUCAUAUGUUGUAGGCAUUUGUAUGUCACCAUAUGCAAACUAUAUAUCUAGCUUAAUUUAGCCAGAAAAAUAAAAGCUAUCCUUAAUUUACAGAUGGUUAAUUAGGAAACUUCCAUCAUCUUUCUUGACACCCGAAGUUGAAACAUUUUUUCCAAACAACAUAAUUUUAAUCGAAGAAGAAGAAGAAAAAGAGAACCAAAAGUUCCAACAUGUUCAAACCUGACUUUGAGUUUCAGGCAAAAACAAAAAGCUCAACUUUUGAAGAAAAAAGUGUAUAUACACGAAUAUAUAUACACACACACAUGACCACUCGAUCUAAUAAGUUCAACAAUGUCGACCUUGAUCCAAAUUUCUUUAGAAUAUUCCCACAGGCUGCAGAAUAAUAACACACUGUUCAAUGGAACUUUAAGAAAAUGAAUGAAACCAGAAUACAAGAAAUUAGGAUUUGAUAUCUAAUUGAAAAGUCAUUAACAUUUCGAUCUCUCUCUAUUAUCGCAGCUGGUUUUGAUAUAAACUAGGUACGUACGUUCGAAACAGUAACUGCGGUAAGGUUAAGUUUCUGUGUACGUAGAGCGGCUGCUGCUGCUGGUUUUGUAGUUUCAGUAUCGCAGCUGGGGACUACAACGGGUGAUGAAUGUGGUGGAAAAGUUCUUGGUAUUAUAUAUGCAAAGUCUGUAAGAAUUUGAGCUCAUUUUCUUUUUUGUUUCGAUGAGUUAAGAAUGUGAGUCCAUGCUUCCAGCUUCUUGUGAAAAAGUCUUAUCGAACAGGUGUAAACCACAUGCCUAAAAACAUCUAGCUAUGUUUUCUCACUUGCUGGUUUUCCAAGUUUGACGAUGACCCUUUUCCUUCGUACUAAAUAUAUUCAAUAGUUAACAUAUUGUUUUGUUGUCAUCUAAAAGAAACUAUGUAUUGUUUUGUUUUGAAACUUAACCCUAAGUUCUGUGACGGCGUGUCCAUGUUUUAGGUUCUACACUUAUCUUGAGAAGGAAUGUUUUUUUGUUGAUAGAAAAAUAGAAGAAGAAGAUAUAUGUUGAGUUGGUAUUAACAAUUGGUCAAUAACAACUUAGUGAUUAUGCUUAUGUAGCUCGGGAUAUAGGUGCAAAUAUCCCCCAGACGUUGAGCUUAAUUUGUUAUUGUCCUCUUCAUAGUUGUUGGUUUCUUUACAGCUUUAUUUCUUGGUUUGUAACUUAUAAUGUUCCUUGCUUUGGUUUGUUUCGUGGCAACAGAUCUUCAAGGUUGUUCCAUUAUAUUGUAUUUUCUUGAUCAUUGUUCAUUGACUGGCUUUGGUUUGGCUCUCCAACUAUCUUGUAAUUAUUUUCUUCUAUUCAAUAGAAUUUCGAGAAAAGACGAGUUAAUUCUUUCUUCUGUUUAAAAACAAAAUCACAUCAAUAAACUGACUAUUUCAUUGCAUUAUCAAUCUUAUAAAAGGAAUUCAAUAGUCACCAAAAAAUGAAAAUAUAUAUACAAUGCAUUUGUCCUUUUCUAUAGGGUAAUGUUAGGGUUUGUUAAUGCAUGUGAUGCAUCGACUUUGUUCUCAAAUUAUAAAAUGAGUUCUCAAAGUUGUAAUAUGAGUCAUUAAAGUUGUAAAAACAAAUUAUUUACAACAUUAGUCCUCAUGUGUCUUUAAAGUGAUAAUUGGGUCAUCAAGCCUCAAAGUUGCAAUAUGAGUCCUCAGAGUUGUAACAACUUUUUUUUAAUCACUUUAAGAACUCAAUUACCACUUUAAACACACAUUCUUACUUUAAGGACACAUGAUGACUAAUGUUGCAACUAGAAAAUUUUACAACUUUAAAUACUCGUAUUACAACUUCAAGGACUAAUAUUACUAGUUUGAAGACUCAUUUGACAACUUUAGGACAAAGUUGAUGCAUCACAUGCAUCAUAAUUCUUGCAUUUCAAACAUUAAUUUCUACAUCACACAACUAUUCACUUAACGCGCAUGAGUCUCUGUUUCAUGUUUCUUAUAUUUACAGGUCUAAUUCAAGAAUCACUAUUGCAAUUUAGACAAUCAAAAAUUGUUUAUCCAGUGUAUAUAUCAAUACAUACAUUUUGACAUUCAACUGAAAAUAUUGUGUCGUUAAAUUUGUUAGAAAUUAGUUUUUAAACUCUAGAGAAUUGUUUGAAAUUUUAGACUUAAUUCAUAUUUUUCAUAUGUCAAUAUAAACAGGAACAUAUGCAUAUAGUCUUUUGCUCUAAUUCAGAUCGACAUGAUAUGCAUUGCAAAAUAAGUUGUUUUUUAAAAAAAAAAAAAUAGGGGCUAAACGGCCGCUCUCAUGCAUUCAUGCAUUGCAAAAUAAGUUUUGUAUAUAAGUUUUUGAAAUCUCAUAUUUAAGACUCGUUUAACAUGUUUUUUUUUUUUGCCACAGAUUGAUUGUGUUUGUACCUGAUUCCUGCAUUUUGCCUUCUUGUUAAAACUGCACAUGAUUUCUUAUUGUAACAAAUCUACCGAUAAUUAAUGGUUAAAAUUAACAAUCAGUCUAAGGUGUUUCUAAUACUACUAGACUUGAAGUGGUCCUUGUCCAUUUUUUUGAACAUAUAUACUUGCUAGUGCUCCAAAGAUAGUGCCAGACACUGUCUUUUUUUGCAAUGCUAAAAUAAAAAGGUUACUUGAAUCGGGACGCACAUAGGCGAAGCUAUGCACAGGCUAAAAGUGGCCAUGGCACCCCCAAAACCCUUUCCUCUAUAUGUAUUUUAUCAUUUGAAAUUGGUUUAUUCACUUCAUACUUGUGAUCAUCUUACACAUUGGCACCCCUUAAUCCUAAAGUUUGGCUUCGCCAUUGGGGACGUAGAUAAUUGACCCUCUUCUCAGCUAGAAUUAAAAUACGAGCAAUAUAUAAUGUGUAUAUGGAUUGUAAUUUGAGUAUUAUCUGACAAAUGAGAGCAUUGCAACAUAUUUCAUUUGGCAAUUAGCCAAUUUCGGAUAGCAAUUAUCCCGGAUAUGGAUAUAUAUAGAAGAUGACUUAAGCUUGGUGUUAUUCUCCUGAUAAGAAAAUUGUUGUCAAAACAAUUACUUGAAUGAUGGCAAUAUGUACAUAUCCGAAUAUUUCAUAAAAGGUCUCUGUACAUGCAAUAUCCACUUAUAAGUUUUAUUUUUAUUUUUAUUUUUUUGAUUUGAAAAUUUUCCUUCCAGACCCCCUCACGUGAAAUCUGACUUUUUAAGUGUGCACGUGAAAUACAUUUAAUCCAAUUCCUACAUUGGAAAUUGGGACACAAAUUGCAAUUCAUUCAACAACUUGAUCAAUAUACGAUUCAAGGCCUACUACAGAUACUUGAUAAGAAACCAAUCAGAAUUUUCAGAUGGUUAUACGAGGUGAUCGAAGGGGAGAGAGAGCGCCACGGCGGGAAAGGCUGGUGGAGGUGGUCGUCGGGGGAGAGAGUGAGGAGAGAGGGAGAGGAGAGAGAGCUAUGAGAUCGGGAAGAGAGAAGAGAAAAUGAUAUGAUAUUAGUGUUAAUGGGUAGAUUCGUCAUUUUCUUUAAAUUAGUUGGAAUGGGCACUACGUCUCUUGGUUUAGUUCAUAUGGAUAUAGUCAUUACCCCUCUAUUUAACUUAUGGACCAAGUGUUGUGGCUGUGGGCCACGAGACUAGGUCUUAUAAGUUAUAUAUUUAAAUAACAAAAUAGUUUCAAUAUAACUACUUUUGUAACUAGAUUUGAAUUUCUAUUAUUUUAAAAAAGAAACAUCAUUAGCCCUCUAUGUCGCCUCUACUUAGUUCUAGAAUCUCGAUUGUGAAGAAUAUCCUCGUCCGACGACGUUACACCAUUGUCGGAGGUGGCCUCGGCCACAACGAUUUAGUGCUGCUGGACGGGUGUUUGCUCUCGGUAUUUCAUUUUGGACAAAAACAUUAGUAAUUCCACCACCAAUUAGCUUAAAUAUCUAAAACUCUCAUUGUUCCUCUACUAUGCUAAAGCACCAAAUUAGCCGUACCUAAUUAGGCAUGGGUUAAUGUCAAUUUUCGUGGGCACCACAGCUUUUGUUAAGCAUUAUGAUUUUGUGUUUGAUAAGCUAAUGACAAGAAGGUUUGAAAGUAUGGUUAUUAUUGGGUGCUUGUGUGUUUUGGUAGGGUCGCACAAUGGUCCGUCGGAUUUUUCUCUAUAAUUCAUAUUUUGGCCGAAAAGUACAGCCCAGACCCGAAGAGUGAUAUUUUCGUCGGCUAGUGUGUGCCCCUCUCUGAAUCGCAGUUAUAAAUUGACACAAGCUAAGCCUCUUCUUCCCUCACAGACUUGUCCGAGUUGAGUUUGAGUUUGACUCGUGCCGAGUUGAUAGUGGUGCGCGUGUGUGAGAUUUUCCAACCUUUUUCCCAGGUUCUGUUCCUAUUUAAACCCCCCCCCCCUAACUCUGUUUCAAAACCCACAUUGCCUUCUCUCUGUUUCCCUUUCCAGUCCUAACAGCCUUUCUCUCUUUCUUUCAAGUAAGUCUCGAGGUAUGAACACUUUGAGGUUUUACUUAUUUUACUUUGUAAUGGAGGCAGAGUGUGAAAGAUUCAUCAUUCAUGGUUUGUUUAUGUGUAUGUAUGCAGGGGUUGAGAAACUUGUUAAAGGAAAGAAAAAUGACCAACCAAAAUGUACUUGUUUCCGAUGUCAAAGGCGUGGCUAUGGCUGUCGCUGCCAUGAAGAACCAGUCUAUGUUCUCUUCAUCGGUGGCGAGUUCCAUGAUUGAAUCAGGAGGAGUUGCAGGGUGUAUUUUCACCAUUCCCAGGAGUAUUAAGCUCUUGAAGGUUGAGACUGCUGAAGUUGGUGGUGGAGCUGCCCGAGUCAAUGCUUGGGUGGACUCAUUGAGAGCUUCUUCUCCGCCGCGUGUUAAAUCCACCACCACUUCCCCCUCCACUCUUUCUCAAACUGGGGAUGAAGAAAACUCUUGGAAUGUAAGCAUUGGCCUUUGUAUCAUCUCUCUGGUUCUUAAAUUUUAUUUGCCUAGCUGUUAUAUAUGAGUUGAUGAAAUGCUUUUGUAAACAGCUUCGUCACCCAUCAGCUAUAAACAUGUUUGAGGAGAUUACAAAUGCUUCAAAGGGGAAGCAGAUUGUCAUGUUUCUUGAUUACGAUGGAACCCUUUCUCCAAUUGUUCAAGACCCUGACAGAGCCUUCAUGUCCAAUGAGGUUUAUUAUUGAAUUCUUACUUGUAUGAGUGUAUCAGUUUGAUCCUAGCUAUAUUAUUACAUGUAUAACACUUAUAUAUGUGUACCAUCUUCAUCAUUCAUAGUCUCUUUGUCUUUAGCUAUGAAUUGAUUUGGCCAUUUUGGUUCAGAUGAGAAAAGCUGUGAGGGCAGUUGCUAGAUAUUUUCCAACAGCCAUAGUUAGUGGGAGGUGCCGCGACAAGGUACAAUUUUGCUUUCUAUUUUUCUAUUAAUAGAAAUGUUACUAAUAUGCUGUUUCACCAAAGCCAUGAAAGUUUUGUAAAUUACUGGAGUUUCUUAAUUUUUUGCAGGUUUAUAGCUUUGUCAAACUAGCAGAGCUUUACUAUGCAGGAAGCCAUGGGAUGGACAUCAAAGGACCAUCCAAAAGUAACAAGUACAAGAAUGUGAGUGGCUCCAGCCUCUAGUGACCCAAAAUAAUAUAAAGUUCUUCAUAUAUUCUUGCUUUUUUGGUGUACUUUAUAAUGAUUUCAAGUAACUUAUAUUCAUUGUUGAAUUACUCAGGCUAAUCAACAAGCAGUUCUGUGCCAACCAGCUAGUGAAUUUGUACCCAUGAUUGAUGAGGUUUGUUCAUAUCAUAUCAUCUGUUAAGAACAAGCAGAGAAGAGAAUAUGAUAACUAAAAGGAAACUGUUUGAGUGACUGAUUUAAUUUGUGUAAUUCCUGGCAGGUCUUCAAAAUUUUAGUGGAGAAAACCAAAUCCAUCUCAGGAGCUAGGGUGGAAAAUAAUAAGUUCUGUUUAUCUGUACACUUUCGUUGUGUUGAGGAGAAGGUAAACAUCAAUUCCCACUUUUCUAUCUUCUAUUUUUUGUUUUGGUUUGUUUUUAGUGAUCAUAUAAUUUGGUGGAGGAUACAAUCAUUUACAAUUUGUUUUCCUUUUGUAAUUGUCUUGAUUCUUACCAGAGUUGGGCUGCUCUGGCAGAGCAAGUAAGCUUAGUGCUCAAUGAGUACCCAAAGCUGAAGUUGACUCAAGGGAGAAAGGUAAGUAAAUUAUCUAGCUAGAUAAAUAACUUCCUAAUUGAAUUUUGCAUGGACACAAAAUUAAUUUUCCUAAUUGUGUUUCUUGGUCUGAGCAGGUCUUGGAGAUUAGGCCAACCAUCAAAUGGGACAAGGGCAAAGCACUUGAAUUCUUGCUAGAGUCAUUAGGUGAGUCUUGAGUAGUCGAUUUCUAUCUCCUUCUAAAUUACCCUUUGAUACAAUUGUUAAUUAUGUCGAUUUCUCCUUCUUAUAGUAUAUAUAAUGUGUAUUUGUCCUAUUAUCAAAUUAGGAAUGUUAAACUGUUGUUUCUAAUUAGGAUACGCCAACUCAAAUGAAGUAUUACCGGUCUAUAUUGGAGAUGAUAGAACAGAUGAGGAUGCUUUCAAGGUAUGAUCAGAUUGAUCAAAUGCCAUUAAAAUUUUAUAUAUUUUCAACAAGUUUUGUAUUUUGAACAUAUUUUCACACGUAUAAAUGAUAUAUUCCUGCAGCUUUUACGUGAUAGAGGACAAGGAUUUGGAAUUCUUGUUUCUAAAGUUCCAAAAGAAACAAAUGCUUCUUAUUCCUUGCAAGAACCAGCAGAGGUACGGACGUACGUGCAUAAGAAUACUAUUUUGGAUCCCAACUUGGAAUAAUUGGCACUUGUUUUGAUCUAAUUAAUUUGUUUGUAAAUAUAAUUAACAUGGUUUAGGUGUAUACGUACUUAUUCUGUCUAAUUUUUUUGAUAGGUCAAGGACUUUUUGCGACGUCUAGUGAAGUGGAAAAGAUUGACGCUGCAGUAACUAAAAGACGACUCGCAGAGAAUGGAAGCAUAUUUAGAAGAAAUUAAUCGAUUCCACCCUAAGAAUUUAGUCAAAGGAUGGCCGGCUUCAUGUUUAUGUAAUUUUCUUGUUAAGUUAGUUAUUAAUUAUCGAACUACUGAAUCCCUAAUCAAUUAAUUAAUUUUGGAAAUUGUAAAUAAAUUGCGUCUCUCUCGGAAUAUCUCAUUUAAUUUUCUUGCUAUAUAUCUAGCUAUUCGUUUACUCAAACCAUGUAUCCAUUGGUUGUCUUGCAUGGCAGUUUUUCUAAUUGUGAUGAAAGACACUUAAUCACUCCAUCUAAACUGAAAAGAAGCUACUCACUACAUGUAAGUUUUACUUAAAAUGACAACACUGUAUCUUUAGGAUAUAUUUCAGCUCACUAGUAGUCAUCAGUAUAGCUCUUCUUAAUUCGAACGAUAUCAUGCCAAGACCAAAGCGGCAUACUAGAAUGAGGUAAAACCUCGUAGCUAGCUUCAUCAUUAAUUUCCCUCCAACAUAAGAACUCGAUCGUCAAUCACUCGGUUCAUUAGUCGUAAUCGCAACAAGAAAUAACCUCAUCCAUCAGCUAAAAGUAUAUUGUUUUCUCAUAUUGUGAUGAACCAGAAAAGACAAAUAAUUUUCCUUUUCUUAUUUCACGACAGUUUGAUCAAACUAUUUUGAGUCAUUGGCUUUUACUUUUUCCCUAAUUGUUAUGGAAAUCAAGAUAUAUGGGCAGUACUUAUUUAGAUCCUAGCUACUCAAAAGAAUCACCUUUUAGCUAUAAUCUAAUUACUUUUCAACAUUUACUAACUAAUAGUUCAUUACAAUAAUUGACAUUGAGAGUGAAAUUAAGAUCAAUAUGAUCCUCUAUUGAAGGUGGGCAGAUGAAAUUACAUUUUCAAUUUUUUUUCUUUUUAACAAUUUAGUUACAGAUUAUUGAUUCUAAUUAUUUAAUUACCAACAUUUAGUUACUAAUAAUUCAUUCCAAUAAUUGAGAGUGAGAUUAAAACAGUCUAUAUACAUGAUCAUCUAAUUAAGUACUAUAGAGUAUACAUGAAGGUGGGCAGAUAAACUUCUUUUUGUUAUUGCUAAACAAUUUUACUACUUUCUUAACUGCGCGCUAGUUAUUUUUUGAUUAUUUUCUGUAUAAAGCUGUCUCGCAUGUACUAGGGAAUCCAAGAACUGAGCUUGGAGAUCAAGUUUGCUGCAAAUUGCCUAUAUAUAAACUGAAAGCAUGCACUGCUCUUUGAUCCUCUUCCAAAUCUAUUGGUCUGUUACUAAUUUCUCAUUUAUAUAAUUCCCACAUCAAAAUUAGUUUAUAUGCAGCAGUCAAAAGAACACAUUGUCAAUUCUUGAAGUGAGUGUUUCAUGCGACCAAAGCUCAUGUAUAUGUUGAAUCCUAAACCUCAAUAAUGGGAAGCAUCUGCCAGUACAGUUGGCAAAAUACUCAAAUAUAUAGCUAUAGUUAAGCAGAGUGGUGCUCUUGUGAUCGAUAAAAUACAAGCAUUUCUUGAGUUAAGGUAGACUUUGUGAUUUGUUUUUCAGUAAAUGAAGAACCCUAGGAAUUCUGUAACAAUAUAUAUGAAUUGCCGCGACAAAUAUUACCCAAACUAUAUGAACAAGUUGAUGCGAUAUGGAUUACGUCUGUGUAAAUUAAUCUGUAUUACUUAUUGGGAUGCGUUAUUCACUGUCCUCGGGUAUAGUAUCAAAUUGACAUCUUUGUUCUUUGGUUCUUUCCUGCAUUUAGUAGCUAGGUAUGUAUUCAGUAAUCAGUAAUCAUCUAUAUAUAUACCUAGUGGUACUGUGGUAACCAAUAACUCAAUAAGUAUCUUCUUAAUCUGGCCACAAGGAAUCGCGCACAUUUUUAUUCCUUUAAACCAUAAGAACUGAGAGUCCCGAUAGUUUUCCAUCUAUUGGCUCUUUUCCCGUUUUGGUUAAUCAUUUUGUCUUCACUCACCAAGGCUGUGCAUGAUUGUGUUAGAACGGAAUGUGCAUCUAGACCUAACAUUCUUAAGAAAAACAUAACCCAACUCGUGAAAAUUGAUUCUUGUACAAGCUGUUGUUUGCUUUAGAAAUUAUGUACAAAGGGCUUGCAUCUUUAUUACUAUAUAUAAUAUACAGAUAUCACAAUCAGCAAUAUGAAACAGAUAUUGCAUAAUGAUUAACAGAGCUAAUUGGGAUGAUUCUCUGAGCUGUUAGAUGAAGACUCAACUAUUUUUAAGAUUAGUGAAUAGUAAGGUUUAACACAUGCUUAUCUUUUUAAUAUAUUGUUCAACUAUCAAAUUGACAGUAGCAGGGUAACUGCACGCCUCUGAAAAUGGUAGGUUGGAUAAUUGAGUACAGCAUAUAUAAUGGAGGAUUCAUAUGAAAUGACAUAUCAGGUAAACAUUGCAUCUCUCUAUAUCACUGGAGAAAGGCUUUUCUUGGCACAGUGAUCAUCAGGUUACGAAUGAUUAAAGGAUGGAAAAGAAGAGAUGGAAGGAAUGUGAACUGACUGGUGAUGUGUUUUUGAGCAACAGGUACACAUGCAGCCGGUGAGUUGAAGCUGCUAGGUUAGUAUUUAUUCUUAGCUAUAGCCCCAUGUUAUUUAAUUUGCUUCCUUUCGUAGAUACCAGUUAUCUUCACCCUUCUAACAGACAAGAGAUCAUGGAGAGGAGCACGCACGAGACCCAUAGCUAUCUAGAGUUUAAGUUUGAUUAUAAAUUUCACAGAAAGAGAUAUGGCAACAUUAUAGGGCACAAAAUAAGAAAUACAUUACUACUAUGAUAGUGAACAUGAACAUUACUUUACACAGCUAAAGCAAAUAAAGAGCUUAUGCUUUUUAAGGGAUCGCACAUUAUAACCAAGUUCCUUAAUUAACUUGUUUAUGGAUAAAUUGAUCCCAAUAAUGAAAUGGUAUCUAUUUAAACAAAAAUAUAUAAGAUCCAAGGAGCUAGGUUAAGAUAUUAGAGGGUUAAAUGAGUGAACAGGAAGGGUGCUUGCUUUUGGAAGGAGGGAUAUAGACCUAAACCAUUGGGCACCAAGAUUUGGGAGAGCCCACAUCAAAAGAUUAAUGGAAUCUUAAAAGUAGUAGUUUAAUGGAUUCAUUUUGUCAAUAUUGAAAUGGGUUAUUUUCAUAGGGUUAGGUGGUGAGAGGGAAACCCACUAGCUAGCUGCAUAGGGGGUUCCAUAUGGUUGGAAGAGGAGUUGGAAUCCACUAAAAGUGCUUAACAUGAAGAAGACAUGGGGUUUCUUUAUGCUAUUCUUGCCAAUAUGUUAUCAAAUGGUUUUUCAUUUGUUCAUAUGAGAUUUAUAAGUAUUACUUACUCGGUAGAUAUUUUACUUAGUAUUUCAUAAAAUAAAUAUAUUUAACUAGCUACAACGUAACGCUCAUGUAUUGUCCCGUUAGAUUGUUAUAGUAAAACUUCUUAGAUGCGUAUUACGAUUUUAAACGUAUCAUUCUUGAACAUAUAUGUUAAAUACUUAGCGACAAAACAAAUUAACAUUUAUCACAAAUAUCUUCUUAGAUGUUAUUUACUUAUUUUUUUAGUACUGACCAUGAAUCUUUUAGUCAAUAACUGACUAUGUGAACACUACUAAUAUAUUUAAUGAAAUAUGACCGAUGUUUGAUCUUUAAGAUUAAAUAUAUUCAAAUAUGGAGGAAUUUCACCGUUGAGGAUUCACCCUCAAACUAAAUGUUUUACCCUGAUAUACACAGAAUAACUGAUCAAGGGAGUAUUCAAACAAUUAUAGCGCAGAAACAUCAUGAAAUAUUACUUAGUGAUGAGCAAAUUUAGUAACCCUAAAAGCAUUGCUAUUGGGGACACCUAGCACGGUUCCAUGCCAUAGGAAACCUCUGCCUCAUUCAGACGUGUAAAGAGAUUUUCCCACUAUAUUGCAUCCAUUAUUGGCACCUUAAACAGAAAUAAAUAAAGUCCUAUAGGCCCCCAAUUAUUGGUGAAAGAAAAAGAGCCACUUCUUCUCUCCUGCAGGGACAACAUAUUCAACCAACUCAAACUCUCUGUAUCACACUAUGCUUCUUGCAGCUAGCUUAGCCUUUAAUAUAUCAUCAUCAUCAUCAUCGAGUAUCAUCUAUGACAAAUGAAUCAAAUGAUGUGUCUGAAAAAACAAAAGCUAGCCUCUCAGGAGGCAGCAGGCAGAUUCUGAUCCCUUUUACUUCUUACUGAACCAUCCCAGCUCGGUCCCAACAAACUAACAGCACCUGGGAACAAAUGAAUUAAAGAAACCAAAACUUAAAGAUGCGAGGACCUCUGUGGAAGAUUAAAGCGUAUUGACCUUUAAGAUCAGUAGUGCAUGUACGUGUGUUUUGUAUUGUGGUUUCCAUGUGCGAUAGAAAGAAGAAGAAGAGCAGAAAAGGAUCUGUCUUUCUCUUUCAACGUGUCGAUCCUCAGCUGCUAUAUGAUGCUGUAGGAAAACUGGUCCCUGCAUAGAGGCCAGGGUUGGAGCUAGCUGAUCGACUUUGAUCAUGAUCAAGGUGGUGAAGAUCAUAUAUACGUAUAUAGUAAUUUAUAAAGAUCGAUGAUUUUAUAUAGUAAUUGAUGUUAUGGAUCGUACGGAGUUGGAUCAGUAAACAUGUGUUUACGAUUUGAUAAUUGGAUUAUCCAUGUGAGCAGCAUCAGUAGAACAGAGAUCAUGAUCUUCUAAGAGGAAGCAUAUGCGUCAGGUGCUUGCAUAGCAGGUAGCUUGGAGCUAAUCCCUUGCAAUUAUCGUAAGCAGUAGAGUUUUGGUUUAAGAAUUCCAACCAAGUAGCUAGGGGAGUUCUGUAAUGGGCUUCUGCUUGUCCGCAAACGAUCGAAGAAAUUGGUUAUUGGGUCAUAUGCUAACGUCAAAUGGACUCUGCACCCCAAUUGUGGACAUAUAUAUAUAUAUAUUAA
rnacentral:lncRNA from 1 species